rnacentral:lncRNA from 1 species
UGGUUAUUUGAACUUUAAUUGCAGCUACUAUUACAGUGUGUGCAUACAUGACUGAAACUGUAUGAUGUGUGUGCCAUGGUUACCUGAACUUCAAUUCUAGCUACUAUUCAAAUCUAAUACUAGCAUGUACAUGACUGGACUCGUACUACUGCGUACUAGUGUGCCAUUUUGCUUAUUCUUUCCUUGAACUUUGCAUGCUCUCUAUUCUUUCAGAGAUAUGUUCAAAGCUAGUUCCUCGGAGGUGUAUUCUUUCAUAGAUAUGUUAAAGCUAGUUCUUUAUUCUUUCAAAGAUAUGUUAUUUUCAUACUUUCAGCUCACAUGUAGCUUUUCUUUGUAGGAAAGUAAAUACUCCUACGUUACAUAAAAAGAGAGACAGAGUCAAAGCUGUAAGGACUUGGUAAAGAAAACUGUGAGAUGUAGGCCCCAUAUACUCCUGCGUGACCCGAAUUUCCUGAGCGAAGUUGGAAGCAGCGCAGCGUGCGUCCGUACAUCAUGGGCAUCUUGCCAGUGAUCUAUGCACUAUCCCCUUUGUUUUUUUUGCGGGAAUAAUACUUGUAUUACUCAUUCACCAAGUCCUUACAAUCAUCAAGGACCAACUUCAAAACAUCCUCCGGGCCUGAACCGACCCAAGUCAUAGUACGACCUUCUACUCUAGCAAAACUAGCUAGUCUAUCACUCGCUCAUGAGUAAUACAAGUCUGCCUAAGACUCAACAAGAAUUUAAUUUCACUAACCAAAGAAGCAUAAACUGAGCAAUCCACCUCGCCGCAUGAAAUAAUAGCCAUGGUUGUAGUCGAGUCCAUCUCAAUGGCAAUUGGAAGAUUGGAGCGUUGAAUUGCGAAAGAUAAGCCUUCCAUACAUGCACAUAACUCCGUCCCCAGAGCGUCUCUACACGAGAACAAGGCCCUGCAUGAUGAGAAUAUUAUGGCUCCUGAGUUAUCUCGCAAGAUCAUUCUAGCACCCGCACCACCAGCGAACGAGUAAGAUCCAUCCGUGUUAAGCUUCACCCAGCCAAGCUGGGGCGGCCUCCAAGGUGUAUCGCCAUUCACGGGGUGCUCAACAGCGGACCUAGACUUUAGAUCAUAGGAUAUGCUGCACUUCCCCUUUGCUGGAUCAAAGCGUGAGUUCAGUUUGAUGCCAAUUAGAGCAUCCAAGUAAUUCUGAAGAAACCUUGUUGAUACUUCCAUGGGAGGAGCAGGUCCAUGAUGUACUAUCUCAUUCCGAAUGAACCAGCUUCUCCAAAAAAUUAACAGUAGCAUACUUCUCUGAAUUCGUUCAAAGGGGCAAGUACGUGAAGUAGCCAUUCCUUACCAACAGGCAACAGGGAAUCAAGGAAUGGUAAAAUCCAAAUCUCGGCCAUGGCUAGAUAAAGAUCACGUCCGUAUUGGCAUCUCACAAACGGGUGGAAAUUGUCCUCCUCUUCCAUACCACAAACUGGACAUCUACUUGAAAGCUCCAGUCCAAUCUUGUGUUUAUUCCUCCAUGUCGGCAAAGAGUUCGUAGUCAAUCUCCAAGCAAAAUUGCGCACAGUGGGGGUACAUCACAUCUCCAUAUAUAUUGCCAGCAUUUUCUACUACCAUCUGGCGAUGUGCUAGACGCCUCUGCAGUAUUUCUGUGAGCUACUUCAAAAGCCAGCAUAUAUGCUGAUAUGACCGUGAAGACGCCGAGCUUCCCCGGCCCCCAUGCAAUCACAUCCUCACCUAAUCUUGGAGAUGCCCGUAUCUUUAAGAUUUCUUCCACAUCAGCUGAUAAGAAGUACUGCUGAAGAAGUACCGAGUUCCAAGAACCAUUAUCAUUUAGCAAGUCGGACACAAAAAGAAUGCGACAUCUUCCCUGCAGCGACACAGGUUUGUAUGAAAAGGGCCUUGGAAUCCAGUUAUCUCUCCCCUUUGUUGGUAGUCAGAGUCACUAGGACAACUAACUGUGUUAGCAUCUAGAGUUGUAACAAGCCACAGUCCGCCUAUCUUGGUUGCGCAGCGAUGAUGCUACCAUCUCCUACUACAAAGUACACGCCUUGCACCGGAAACAGCGCAACCAUAUGACAUCUAUCCGAGUGGGCGACCACGUGGUAACCGGGCAUGAGGCCAUGGCUGAGGCCGCCUACAACCACUUCUCCGAUGUGCUCGGAAGUGCCACGGAGCAUGACAUCACGCUUGAUCUCCGCGUUUUGCGUGUUCAACACAAUGCUACUCCGUGCGGUGGACCUAGGCCUUCUUCGACGCCUUACCACUCGGCACGCGGCCUCGAGUAUAUCGCUAUACGCGGACGAUGUUGUCAUCUUUUGUCACCCGGACUGCCACGACAUUACCACCGUGUGAACCAUCCUGCACAUAUUCGGGCUUCAUACAAACUUCGCCAAGUGUUCUGCCACCCCGAUCCGGUGCGAUGAUGACAACAACAUGAUGAUCACAUCUGAGAUGCAGUGCCCCAUAGCCCAAUUCCCCAUCACAUACCUCGGGUUGCCUCUCUCUGUCUGCAAGGCCUCCACGACUAGCUUGCUCCCGAUCAUCGACAAGCUCGGCCACAAGCUCUCCACUUGGCAUGCUUCCAUGAUGUCCAACGGGCAACGGCGACCGCCUUGCUCUCGUGCAUCACGUACUUAGUGCUAUCCCGACAUACUUCCUCACCGCCUUUGCUCUCAACCAAUCCAUCCUCAAGAAAUUCAACUGCAUCAUCUAGAUGCUCGAGGUGCCCGACUGUAGAUGCUCUAAUCAUCUAGAUCCGGCGCUCAAAGGCUCCACCCUCCCCCAUGGCUUGGGUUCGGGCGCCUCCCCAAAACUUCGUCGGGAUCCGCCACAACCGGCAACGGCGAGGCCAGAGGUGGCCGGAUCCGGCACAGGUUGGUCUCUCCCCUCCUUCUUCGCCCACCCUCUCCUCCUUACCUCACGCCACGUGUCUUCCCUUUUUUGCAGGUCGCUAUGGUGCGGACGGCGAUGACGGCAGGAGGGGCACACACAUCCGUGGAUGGGACGCCGCCAUGGAGAUGGAGAUCCUUCUUCACACCACGCAGAGGCCCCAUGGAGCCUCCCUCCUUCUUCGGUGACUUCUUCUCAGGCCCCACCACUACCUCUGACCUCCCCCUCCUCUACUUUGAGUUGCACCAUGCUUUGUUUCAGAUUCAUCCACCCAUGGGUGAUACAUGGCAAGUUAGGGGUUGCUGCAGUUUGAGGUUAAUCCCUUGAUUGGCUGCUGUUUAGGGUUGAUUGGCUCAGUUGGCUGCUAGACUUUAGGCGUGCAUACAUGGGUAUGACGUGCUCUGCACAUUUAGGAUUGAAGUAUUGUGUUGCAGCACUCAGUGACGUUAAUUUAGGGCAUUUCAGUGUCAGUUCCACUAUAUUUAGGGGGACAUUUAAUAGUGCAAUUUCAUGGUUAUUACAGUGUAAUUUCAAGGUUCUUGCACUGUAAGUUCAGAGAAUUACAAUGUUAGUUUAUGUGAAUUCCCGUGCAUUUUACUGUGUAAUUUAAGUGCAAUGGAAAUUAUAGUGUAAAUUUAGUGUAAUUUACUAUGUAAAUUUAAGGAAAUUACACUGUAAUUCGUGUGCAACUUUUAGUGUAAUUUACAGUGUAAUUUCAACGGGUUUACAGUAGAGUAAUUUAAGUGUAAUUACAGUGUGCACUUUAGAGCAAUCAUACUAUAUAUUUAGUGAAUUUAAAGCAUCACUCCAUACCUUUCGCGUUUGUCUUUUUUCUCUACAAGUUACUGCUAUACUGUUGAUUGAUUCUACCCUUGCGUAAGAAACUUUGAUGAGCACAUAAUUUUCUACUAUGUAAUUUGAGCAGCUUGGUAACCGUAAUUUUCAGUUUCCUUUGACCCUAGGCCCUUGUGCUUUAGAAUUGCUAUUUUUUGUCAGUGUACAUGCUAGAUCAUGUGGUUUAUGAUACUUCUCUGGUCCUUAUAAACAAAGUGACAUGUUUGUGCCGUGGAAUAGAAAGAAUAUUUCAGUGUCUCUCUUUAGGCCUUUUGUCGAAUUGUUAUGUGGUCCAGCGCAGCCUUACGAAACCGGGUUCUAUGCAGUUCAUGUACAGUGCAAAACUCAUUAUUGCAGGUCAGGCCUGUUGCAUGUUUUUGGUCAUUGACAUGCAGGAAAGAAGGAAAAAGGACAUAGAAGUAUCAUUUUGUUAUUGGUCAAGAAAUUUGAAUAAUGUCCAACUGAUUUCAGUUGAAUGACAAAUAGACAAUCCCUUGUUUAAUCAGUAGAUAUACACCAUUAACUCAAAUAGCAAAGAAAUACUAGUCCACUUAUAAUCGACGAUUGCGCAUGAUGCAUCCAUCCAUUCUAUCGGAGAGGCUGUGUUUUUUUUUCUUCUUGUGCUAAGGUUGAUAGCAUCACAUAUCUUAUGCUUUUGUUUCUCAAGUAGAGCCUUGAGAUAGAUGUGUCUGCAACCGUCCUCGAAUGGUUGUGCAAUAAUAAUGGUCCUAGCUAAUUACUAGUAUGCAUUGCUUAUAAAACAACUUGCUGCUCAUUUCACUUUGAGUAUGCUGUUGCUGCUAAAGUAGCAACAACAACAGCCAUGCUUUGGUUCCCCAAAAUUCAGAUGGCACUGACAUCUCUACAUACACACACAUAUGAAUAUGCACCUUGGUUUGGUUCAGUUUGCAUGUGUACCGUUUCUUUAACUUUGACUGAAACUAUCUUGGUGGCACUUGCAUCAAUGUUGUGCUCUACCCUUGUAUAUGUCCUUGGAGAAGAUGACCAUUGGACUGUAGGGGACGAACAACCUUGUCCUGCUCGAGGAGGAGGAGGAUGGCCACCCCGAGCUCGAGGACGACACGACAACAGGUAGCACUCACCUCCCUACCAAGGUGAAGGUCCGAUCCGCCUGUUUAGAUGGUCUGCUCUUGUCUUGUGAUCUGAGGGGAGAAGAAAGCCAUUGGCCUCAAUUAUAUUUGCAUGUGAGGGGAGCGAUCCUUUUGGUAGAUGCAGAGUAUAGAUUAGAUAUUCCACAAAACUCACCACACGAGUAUACUACCUAUAUCCACAAAAUUCACCACACGAGCAUACUACCUAUGUCCAAAUGUGGGUGUGAUACUUUCAACAUGAAACAUGAAUAUCAGGUUGGGAGUUUGGAGUUUAAUCAAAUAACGCAGCAAGGCGAUCAUCGGUAGGGAUGCACCUUUGAGGCGGCAAGGAGAGCUUCUCAAAGGCAGUACACAUGGCUUAUUACUGCUUGUAUGUGAGUACGCAGAUGUGGAGUCUAUGGAUAGAGGGUUAGGGGCGCAACGCAAGCAGCAGUAGGGGAUACACAACCUGAUUUGAUUUGGUCAAUCACGGGGAAAUGGGAGAAGGCCUAGGGUGCAAAGUUUGGAUCGGUGGGUUGGUAGCGUUAGGCAUAAUAGAGAUCAAACUUUUUCAUAGGCGUAUGUAGGUUAUUUCCUUGAAGCAUUUUAUCAAAAUGGUGUAGGUGGGUAAUAUCUCUCAACUUAAAUGUGAAGGGAAGAUAUUAUUUCCUUGUAGAGGCCGAGGAAUACAUGGCGUACCGCUACAUAUGCAACCAUGAUUUUUUGUGGAUGGUUACGAGAGAACCUGAAAUAUACCAUGGACCGAAGCAUGGGCACAUGAAGUUCCAACACCGAAGGGUAAGGAGACGGGCCCGCGUCAUUUACGUCGGGAAUAUGCGACCUUGAUUCUUUGUGGAUGGUGAUGCCAAGACUAUAGGAUAAGGUGGAUCCGGACACAUGAGCAGAUGAAGUGCCUGACACGAAGUAGGUUAAGGAGCUGGACCCAAGUCAUCUACACCGCAAAUUGGUCGAAGGUGUGCCGUGAAUGAUAGAUGUACUUGAGGGGGGAGAAAGCCUGUGAAAAGAACAUACGGUUGCUCGAUGAUGACACAUGUCUUGAGAGGAUGGCGAGAACCCUAGAUAUGGUUAAGGCAUGCCACGAGAACAUCACCCCGGUCGCGAGAUUCUCAGUGGUGUGCGGCAACCGAAGCCAAAAGGGCACCCCCGCAAGACCUUGAAACGCCAGAGCGGUGGGCGCACAAGCAAUGGUGAGGAAAAUCACAUAAGGUACCAAGCAAGGCCAUCCUGAUCAGGGCUCCAUUGCCAAGCUUAUGUCCACCACUGCGAUUUAGACAAAUUUUCAACUGGCGUCUCUGUCUUCUCAAGAUUUCCACGGUCCCAUCAGGAUGUAUAUAUAUACUUUGUUUAUUUUGAAAAUUAAUAUAUCACCAAAGAAAUUUUAGUACUUGUCAUUCUUUUAAUUACUUAGUAGUUUGCAUGAUAGACUCAAUCUUAUAUUUACUAAUUAGAGGCACCAAAUAAGCGACCACGUUAAUCCUCAAAAACUAAGAAUAGUAUCCAUCCGAUCUCCAUAUUAAGUAUCUGUAGCCGUCCAUUGGACAACUCAAGAGUCCGUUGUUACUAUCCCACGUCAUGCUCGAUGUAAUGUGAAAAAAAAUCAUCUCCUUGGCCAAAUCCAUCCCACGUCAUGCUCCAUGUAAUGUGAAAAAAAUCAUCUCCCCGGCCAAAUUCUUCCUCCCCCGGUCUAUCAUGUGAGGCACUUGCGCAUCAUCCACAAAUCCCUAGCGCAAAUCCAUCCCACGUCAUGCUCCAUGUAAUGUGAAAAAAAUCAUCUCCCUGGCCAAAUUCUUCCUCCCCCGAUCUAUCAUGUGAGGCACUUGCGCAUCAUCCACAAAUCCCUAGCGCUACUCUUCCAGGUCAUCCUCCUCCUUCCUAUCUUUUGCUGUCUUAAUGCAAAACAAUUCCGUGAGAUCCUUGUGAUCCUCUUCAUAUUCACGUAGAAAUCUGAACUGUCCCAACCACGCUGCAGAUCUGUGGUCCGUCUUGGACAAAGAGAAGGCCCUUUCAAUCUCCACAGAUGCCAUGCCCCAACCAAACCACAACCCAUGAUAAACGAUGUUGUUGAGAAGGAGGCGCUACCUAAGUCUGAUCGGACAUAUUCCAUUGUUGGGGAAGCUACAAGUCGAAGAACUAUGGUAGACUGAUUGCAGGUAAUUAAGGAGCUAGCAACGAUCCAGUAGGUUUUUGUUAUUAGGAAUUUUUAUGUAGUGCGACUUGAUCUCGAAGAACAAGUACACCAUUAGAGUUCGUUUUGGAGGAUUUUGAUGAUGUGCGCUUAGUUACAGACUUAUCUAAAUACGUAUAACUAGGAUGGACAAUAUUUGUAGGAGCCAUACAAUCCAAUUAGGGGAUUCAGUUUGUCAAAGAUGUUUCCACAUAUCCCUAGCGCUGCUCUUCUAGGUUGCCCCCUGCUUCCUAUCUACGGUCUUCAAGUAAAGCGAUUUAAUGAGUCUCUUGCUGCAGAAAUUCCAACUGCCACAAGAAGGCUGCAGACCUGCGGUUCAUCUUGGCUGAGGUGUCAUACAAUCCAGUUAAGGGAUUCCAUUCAUUGAAGAUGUGGUUGUACUUUCGCACAACAAACUCAAGCACAUCUUCUUAUGUUCUUAGAAACUGGAUGAGUUGUUUUGGACUUUCUUUGGUCUACUCCUCUAUGCUUCUUGUUGGGAAAGUUAGUAUGCAAAAGUUAUGCCCAUCUUCUUAAAUUCGGAUGUAACUUUUCGAGUAGAUGAUUUUUCAUAUAAAAAACUUUUUCAUCCGAGUUAGUAUGCAAAAGUUAUGCCCAUUUUUACAAAUUUCAGAGAGAUUUUGCAAAUAAAGUCAAAAUUCACAUUUGCAAAUUUUCCCAACAACUAGACCACAUAUCACAUGGGAAACUUAUUUUCUUUUAUUUUUUUGACAUUUCCAUCAUUUUCUUUUAUUUUUUUAAAANNNNNNNNNNNNNNNNNNNNNNNNNNNNNNNNNNNNNNNNNNNNNNNNNNNNNNNNNNNNNNNNNNNNNNNNNNNNNNNNNNNNNNNNNNNNNNNNNNNNNNNNNNNNNNNNNNNNNNNNNNNNNNNNNNNNNNNNNNNNNNNNNNNNNNNNNNNNNNNNNNNNNNNNNNNNNNNNNNNNNNNNNNNNNNNNNNNNNNNNNNNNNNNNNNNNNNNNNNNNNNNNNNNNNNNNNNNNNNNNNNNNNNNNNNNNNNNNNNNNNNNNNNNNNNNNNNNNNNNNNNNNNNNNNNNNNNNNNNNNNNNNNNNNNNNNNNNNNNNNNGGCACGAACCGGGACUAAAGGUCUCAACCCCAUUAGUCCCGGUUCGUGCCUCAAACCGGGACUAAAGGUCUAAUCUUUAGUCCCGGUUUGAGGCACGAACCGGGACCAAUGGUUGUGGGCCAGAAGCAAGGCCCAUUGGUCCCGGUUCAUCCCACCAACCGGGACCAAAAGGUCCAGAUGAACCGGGACCAAUGGCCCACGUGGCCCGGCCGGCCCCCUGGGCUCACGAACCAGGACCAAUGCCCCCAUUGGUCCCGGUUCUGGACUGAAACGGGACUAAUGGGCUGACCCGGCCUGGACCAAAGCCCUGUUUUCUACUAGUGAGUCCAAUCUUGUGUUUAUUCCUCCAUGUCGGCAAAGAGUCAGUAGUCAAUCUCCAAGCAAAAUUGCGCACAGUGGGGGGUACAUCACAUCUCCAUAUAUAUUGCCAGCAUUUUCUACUACCAUCUGGCGAUGUGCUAGACGCCUCUGCAGUAUUUCUGUGAGCUACUUCCAAAGCCAGCAUAUAUGUUGAUUUGACCGUGAAGACGCCGAGCUUCCCCGGCCCCCAUGCAAUCACAUCCUCACCUAAUCUUGGAGAUUCCCGUAUCUUUAAGAUUUCUUCCACAUCAGCUGAUAAGAAGUACUGCUGAAGAAGUACCAAGUUCCAAGAACCAUUAUCAUUUAGCAAGUCGGACACAAAAUGAAUGCGACAUCUUCCCUGCAGCGACAUGGGUUUGUAUGAAAAGGGCCUUGGAAUCCAGUUAUCUGUCCCCUUUGUUGGUAGUCAGAGUCACUAGGACAACUAACUGUGUUAGCAUCUAGAGUUGUAACAAGCCACAGUCCGCCUAUCUUGGUUGCGCAGCGAUGAUGCUACCAUCUCUUACUACAAAGUACAUGCCUUGCACCGGAAACAUCGCAACCAUAUGACAUCUAUCCGAGUGGGCGACCACGUGGUGACCGGGCAUCAGGCCAUGGCUGAGGCUGCCUACAACCACUUCUCCGAUGUGCUCAGAAGUGCCACGGAGCAUGACAUCACGCUUGAUCUCCGCGUUUUGCGUGUUCAACACAAUGCUACUCCGUGCGGUGGACCUAGGCCUUCUUCGACGCCUUACCACUCGGCACGCGGCCUCGAGUAUAUCUCUAUACGCAGACGAUGUUGUCAUCUUUUGUCACCCGGACAGCCAUGACAUUACCACCGUGUGAACCAUCCUGCACAUAUUCGGGCUUCAUACAAACUUCGCCAAGUGUUCUGCCACCCCGAUCCGGUGCGAUGAUGACAACAACAUGAUGAUCACAUCUGAGAUGCAGUUCCCCAUCACAUACCUCGGGUUGCCUCUUUCUGUCUACAAGGCCUCCACGACUAGCUUGCUCCCGAUCAUCGACAAGCUCGGCCAAAAGCUCUCCACUUGGCAUGCUUCCAUGAUGUCCAACGGGCAACGGCGACCGCCUUGCUCUCAUGCAUCACGUACUUAGUCCUAACCCGACAUACUUCCUCACCGCCUUUGCUCUCAACCAAUCCAUCCUCAAGAAAUUCAACCGCAUCAUCUGCGGAUUCCUUUGGGCGGGAGGCACCGAAGGCAAUGGGGGUCAGUGUCGUGUUAACUGACAGCAAGUUUGCCGGCCAAUCUCUCUUGGCGGUCUUAGCAUCAGGGACAUUCAAAGGACCGGCAUCACCCUCCGUGCGUGGUUGCUUUGGUUACAGUGCACCGACCCCUUGCAACCCUGGAGCCACUUACACAUACCUCACGACCCAGACGUGACUGCCAUCUUCAGCGUGUCUACGACCUGGGAUCUUGGGUCCGGCGUCACCUGCAGAUUCUGGUCCGACCACUUGAUAGAGGGUAGAUCCGUGGCUGAGAUCCCCCCAGUCCUCGCCUCGUCCCUCAACGCCGAUGCAAGACUCGCACCGUUCGCGAGGGCCUCCACCUUAGAGCCUGGGUGCAAGAGAUUCAUGGAGCACUCGGACCGACGGCCAUGUUGCAAUAUGUUGAUCUUCAGCGUCGUGUGCGCCACAUUGACCAGAUGGGUCGGAUACACUCAAAUGGCGCUGGACCGCCUCCGCUAUGAAAUGUCUAUGAUGGGAGAAUUUAAAUUCUUCUUAGGUCUUCAAAUUCUUCAACAGCGCAAUGGCAUCUUCAUAUUUCAGGAGAAAUACCUCAAGGAUGUAUUGUGGAAAUUCGGCAUGAAAGAUUGCAAAGGCGUCAAAAUCCCUAUGCCCACAAAUGGCCAUCUAUGCACUGAUGAAAAUGGUAUUGACUUUGAUCAAAAGGUAUACCGCUCCAUGAUUGGUUCUUUAUUGUAUUUAUGUGCAUCUAGGCCAGAUAUUAUGCUUAGUGUUUGCAUGUGUGCCCGAUUUCAACCUACACUGAAGGAAUCACACGAUAAGGCUGUGAAGCAUAUUCUUUGUUAUCUAGCUCACACACACCAACACUUGGAUAUGGUAUCCCAAGGGCUCGGCUUUUGAUCUCAUUGGGUACUCACUCUGACUAUGCUGGUGAUCCUGUGGACCGCAAGUCAACAUCAGGCACAUGCCAUUUCCUCAGACGAUCCUUGGUCUGUUGGUCCUCGAAGAAACAGAACUACGUAUCCUAACACUUGUGCAAAGUUGAUGACUUAGACGUGCAACACACGAAGAAACGUUUUUCUUCAUUCAAUGAAGAUUAACACUCUAAGUGUGAAGAAAUUAACGAAGAAUUUGAUUCUCAGAGCCCUUCAACAAUUGUACAUGGUGUUUGAAAUCAUCAUUCUUAUACGGUGGAUCACGCCACCACCAAAAGUUGAAAAUCUUGAAUUUGAGUUUUUACUCAUUUUUGAAUUUCCUCAGUUGUUCAAAUUCUUCAACUUUUCAAUGUCUUCACUCUUUCCGUUGUUGUUCUUCAUUGGCUAUAUAUAUAUAUAUAGGGUGGGUCUAUUAUGAUAACACCCUUCAAGACCCUUAUUCUGCUAACACCCAGCUUAUUCUGCUAACACUACCUACCUCACCGUAGCUACAGACUAACCCAAAAAAACAACUGGACCGAACUGCUCGCGCAAAGGGAAAACCCAACCGACCUUAUCUUCUCAUACCCACUCCCCCCAAUUCCCUCUCUAUCUCUCCCGCAACCUCCCUUGCACGGACGCCGCCUAACCACCACCUCCCAUGUGCCGCCGCGCUGCGACCUCCUCUGCGCCGCCGCGCCGCGACCUCCUCUGUGCGGCCGAGUCCGCUCCCCGGCGACUCCCGAUCCGCAGCUCCCCCCAUCGCCCCUGCCUUCCUCUGCGCGCCGCCGCUCCAGGUCGCGGCCACUGCGUUCCACCAACAGCAGCACAUCAGUACGGCGGUAGUGCGGCCCCGCUUCCAUUCCUCCAUGGCCGACCCCCUACCUCCCACCUUCUCCCUCCCUCCCCGAUCGACAACCUCCAUCACCGCCCCGGUCAUGUUGCCCCUCCCGACCCCGCGCCGCCGGAUCCGGGCAACCACGCCGGCGUGCCCUUCCACGAGCUUUCCCGUCGUGACCCUACCACGAGCUGCUCCAGCCCGACCCUGCUUCUUCAACAACGGCACGGUGGCAACUCUCCUUAGUUCUCUCCUGCACCGGGUUCGCGAGCUCCGUUCACGGGCUCGCCGGAUCUCGUGAUUGGGGCGCUGGCGACGUGCUCUCCUACUCCACCGCGCCCCUCCUCUACUUCAGCUCAUGUGCCUGUGCCUCUCGUGGACUCAUCGGCGCACAGGCCGCGCUGGAUCCAUGCUAGUUCGAGGCCCCGACGGCCUCCUCUUCCUGCUAAGCCGCCGAGAUCCGUCGGGGUAUCAAGUUGUUUUGUCGGCCCAAUACUCCUUCUACCUUCCCUUGCCGGCGGUCGUGCAACUUCGGUGAACACCGCUACUCGCGCGCGGAUGACGACGGCUUAGUGGCACUGCAGUUCGCUUUGCAGGGGAUCCGUUGAUGCGGCCGUGGAGUUCGGCCCACAGGUGCAUGAAGUUAUCUUGCCCCCCUCCCAUAGUUUACCCUUCCGCAUGAGCCCCAUGCUGUAGUCCAUUGGGAAGAAGCUCGUGGUGCGGAUGCUCAGUGACAGUGCUGGUGCGUUUCAGAUUUUGUUUUUCUGCAAUUUGUAGGCGACGCUGGAGCCUUGCAGUCCAUUGGCUCGGGGGAGAGCAGUGGAGAGGACACACGUGCGUGUAGUUCCCUGUCCAUUGAAAAUGUAGAAGCCCAUCUUGCUGCAGUGUAUGUGAGCAUAUGGCCUGCAAGUGCUGCUCUUUUCCCAGAUUGAAAACAUUGCGGUGUGGUUGGCUGGCCAUCGACGUGCACUUCGCUUUGGGGGGCAGUACGUUCUUUGUGGAUGUGCACUUCGUUUGGCCCGAGCGGCAUGAAGCUCCAUUUGCGCGCAUGUGUGGCUCGGCUAACUAGUUUGUGCAGUUCGCAUGAUACCUUUAUUAUGUGAUGCCUCCCUAGUUGCUGGAGUUCACUUCUUUGUAUUUAUUGAAACAUCAUGUAGUGCACUGUGAAACUCUCUGUUGUUCACUUGUAAAAACAAAUAGCGGUUCCCUUUGUAAAAAAAGUGCAGCCCCUUAGUGGUUCACCUUGUAGAAAAUGAGAAAGAAAUCCCCAUGGGAGGUUCACUUCUUUUUCCAAUGCAUUUUGUUUUGUUUGUGGGAUGAUUGAAAAAAGAAGUUCACUCCACUUGUUUAGUAGCUCAUACCCCUUUGUAUGAAAUGCAAUUUGUUUCGUGUGUCUCAAAAUCAGUCGACUACAUCAACACGUGCAGUGCGUUUGGUUUUUGGAUGUGGUUCAUUUUUUAGAGUGAUGUUGUUCACUUGUGCCGAACAUGAAAGCACAAAAAAAAUUAGCAAAACAAUAAAAAUAGUAAUGCGGUUCACUAUGAUAUAUGAUGUGGUUCGCUUGCUCGCGUCUCUGCGGUCCACUCUUGUUCAUAAAAAAAUUGAAAAAAACCAUCAAAAACUCGUCCGAGAAAAAUUUACAUCCGACAAAGGAAACCAUGAAGUUCACUUGCCUGUCUGAUGCAGUGCGGUUUCAUCCGAUGCAGUGCGGUUUUCUGUCGAAUGACGUUCACUCACCGAUUUGGGUGUCGCAAAAAACAGUGUCCGCAUAUUCGUAAUUUUAAAAUUUCUUUUAAACCGUAAGGAAUUAGAGAGAGUGUUCUACAUGAAAAAGUUGCGUCUCGUCGAUAUCUUUCCAAUGCCAUAUCAUUUGAAUCAUUUUGACAAGCAGUUUGUAAAAGUUUGGCAAAAAACGACUGCUGCCACUCAUCGUCCGCCGCACCAUUUUAAAAAUUAACUUAAAACCGUAGGGAAUCUCGAAACCAUUUCUACAUAUGAAAGUUGCGCCUUGUCCAUAGCUUUCCAACGAUGUAUUACACGCCUCAGUUCGAUAAACGGUUCAAAAACUAGAGUGAAAACAGUAUCGAACAUUGCAAAAAAUUUCAAAAACGUAAUUUCGCGAUUUAGUAAAUUUGAAACUGCUCAAAACCGAAACGAAUUAGAGAAAAUAAUAGGUAUGGAAAAGAUGUGCCUCAACGAUAUCUUUCCAACGGCGUAUCAUUUGCUUUAUUCCGAUGAGCGGUUUUGAAAAAAUCAUGAAAAUACGCUCGCUGCCACUCGUCAUCUGCAGCACCGUUUUUGAAACUGCUCUUAAACCGCGAGGAUCUUGAAAAGUGUUCAACAUGGCAAAGUUGCGCCUAAUCCAUAGCUUCUCCAGGUAUAUUACACGCAUCAUUCUGAUAAAUGGUUAAAAAAUUAGAGCGAAAAAACUACUAAAAAUACUGCAGCACACUUGGUUCAAACAAUGACGUGCACUUGCGUUGAGCGUGCACUUCGGAAGUGUUAUCAGAAUAACUAUUCUGCUAAUAUUAGCAUAAUAGACAGACUGUAUAUAUAUAUACAUCUGGUUACCCUAUGAUGAAUUCAAGCGGUUGAACUGAUGCUUUCUGUUCCUGUUAAAAAUCGUCUUUUUUAGUUCAAAAGUUUUUACAAUUUUUUUAUCAAAAUAGGGCGUGUAAUAUAUCAUUGGAAAGCUCUUGACAUCCACAUUACAAUAUUAUAAUUUUUUUUUGCAAAAAAAUUAAGAUUUACGAGCAGUUUUGAAAAAACCGUUUUUUUUUCAAACUGAAAAUGCGAAUCGUAUUUUGGACUUAAUUUUCAAACGGUUUGUUGGAAUUGAGCAAAUGAGAUGGCAUUGGAAAGCUUGUGAAAAUCCGCAUCUUCUAUAUUUCUACUAUUUUUUCAAAUUCUAUACGAUUUAAAAGUAAUUUGAAAAAGAGUGAAAUUCUGGGUGAAAUGUUUUUUCACUAUUUUUUUGCAAAUGGUUUGUAGGAUUGAUACAAAUGAUAUGGUGUUGGAAAGCUAUGGAAAAUGUGCAAAUUUUGCGUAUAGAAAGUUUUUUCUAAUCCUUACGGUUUAAAUACGAAUUCAAAUACGGUUAAAAUUGAUUUUGAACGUGUUUUUUAAAAAGUUUGUCGAAAUGGGGAAAAUAAUAUACCGUUGGAUAGCUAUCGAAAAUGCAAAACUUAGUCAUGUUGGACGUUUUCUCUACUUCGCAACCGUUUAAGAGUAAUCUUGAAUACGGCAUGACGGAUCCUGCUAUUUUCUCGUCUGAAAAACAGAUUAGUCGUACUGAUAUAUGUGUAUGUUUGUACUGAGCUAUUUUUUGUAGAGUAAUUUUAAAUGGUGCCGAAAAAAUGUACUUAUACUGAUGCUUGCAUGGUUUUGUACUAAACGUGUUUUCACUAACUAGACUUUGCUCUGUUUUUUCGUGAGAACCAUCAUGCUGUUUUUUUGUGAGAAAAAAUAGAGUACUUGUACUGAUCUUCGUGUGUGUUUGUACUAAUGUAUUCUUCAAAGAGUAAUUUUGAAAGGUUACGAAAAAAGAGUACUUGAACUGAUGUCCGUAUGGGGUUGUACUGAGCGUUUUUUCACAGACUAGGCUUUACUCUAUUUUUUUACUGAAAAUUGUUUCAUCAAUUGUUCGCAAAUGAUAGUACGAACUAAGAUAUGUGUUGGUUUGUACUGAGCAUUUGUUUCAUCAUUUGUUCGCAAUUGAUAGUACGAACGGAGCUUUGUUCAUUUUUAUACUGAGCAUUCUUGUCAGUGCCAGGAUCUCCGGAUUUAUGUUGUUUUGUUCUGCGAACUUCCUCAAAAUUUUAUUGGUAAAUCACACCGUUUUUUUUCUUUUGCUAAAUUUUUGUCCUCUGAACUUGUGACCUAUGGAGUUUGUACUGAUAUGAAUCGUUUUGCCGAACCGCCACAAUUUUUUGUGUAUUGAAUCACUAUAUAACUUAGAACCAAAUUGUUUUUCUUAACAUAUAUUUGAAUUGUUUCUAUAUGUACAUUGAAUUGGGGAAGAGUAGCAAUAGUUAUACAUACUUUAUGGAUAGUAAUACAUGAAUUUCUUGGUAAACUGAAGAAUAUACUCUGGACCGUAAUACAUGUCCUCUCGAGUUUGUACUGAUGUGAAUCCUUUUGAACUUGCUCUCGACGGUAAUACAUGACCUCUCGAGUUUGUACUGAUGUGAAUCCAUUCGAACUUACGUGGCUUACAUCAUUGAACGGACUCUAUUCUUCUCACUACCACCAUUGUUUUGUCCAUUUCUUUUUGGACUUGCAUGGCUUACAUCGUUGAACGGGCUUAGGUGGAUAUGUACUAAUGAACUACUAUGAUUUGUAGCUCUCAGGAAAUGUAAUCCUUUCUUUCCCUGUUAUUCUGAAUACCAAACAGCAAAAAAUCAGUUCUCAUAAGCACGAAAAAAUUAUAUAUGUACCCCUAAAUUUUGCAGCUAUUUUGUCCUCUUUCAUUUCGAAAAAAGCAUACAAAAAGCAAAAGCACAAACUAUACAAAAGGUUUUAGACACCAAACUAGUAGAGAAUUAAAAAUAGGCAUCAGGCAGCAACUUGCUAAACAUAGCACGAGUCAUAUACAUAUGCAUUUCAUCCCAUUAUACUUCUCCACCCGCAUGGAAAGUGAGAGAACCUCCCUACAUGCAUAUAUAGGCAUCAAACUCCCUCUGUACCUGAACUAUAUUUUUGUUUGAUAUAUAUUAUGAACUCCUCUCGUCGAUGUACAUGAACCUGCUGUGCAGAGAGAUGAAAUGUAGUACAUCAGUCUAGCUUCAUUCAGCUAGAGAGAAACAUGAAAAAAUGUUCAGUUUUUUAGACGGCUUUCCUCUUUUUCUUUGUCCAAUCUGCGCCACGACUGCCACCAUCCUGCAUGCAAGCUUAAAAUUAAUUGAAGCCACCAAACAUGCACUUUCAUGAGACUUUGCUACUAUAAGUCAGCGAACAUAUCUUUUAGUAUUAAACCAAAGGCACACUUAUUACCCAGCACUCUUGUUCAGUUCAGAGCAUCAUCAAUAAGAUAAAGAUACGAAAACAUUAAGCCAAUAUAGAACAACUGGAUUGAUUUGAUUCAAAUUUUUACUUUCAAUGCAUUGUAGGCAACAGCCGAUCCAAGUCAGAACUGAUGUGAUUUAUUCCAUCGAACUGAUAUGAAAGUUUAUCUAUACUGUUCUGUUUUUUAACACACAUGUUUUGAACUAUUCCCGCUUUUUUCAUUAUGAAUUGAUGACAUAACACAUGUUGAACUGUUACACAAGAGCAAAUUCAGAAAUACAUAACAAUGGUGUACUCAAAAUAUGUGCAUUUUAAGGAACAAAACUUUCUGAACCUUCUAUACGAAAAACUUCAACUAUCAGUCCAAAGAGAUUUGAAGUUAAACAAUCAUUUCCCUUACUGAGUGUUAAGGAAAACGAAACCAGAGAUGACCUCGCCGGCAGUAGGAGUAGCGAUGGCUGCCAAGGCGACGCGUUGGUACAUGUACUAAACAUCUGCUCAAACCUGUUGUAACAUCUACUUCAAGCUUUUUCUAAAUCAUUGUUGGGAGUAGAGGGUUUUAAAAGAAAAUACAGAGUGCCAAAGAAAGAAAGGAACAACCUAUUUAUCUAAAGGACUGUGAUAUUUGGCACACGUGUGCCAUAUAAGGAAAACUGCCACACCUCUAUUUCUUUCAUUUUAAAGUACCAUACGAUCCCUCGUUCUUUGACCCCGCCUCUUCCCAAAUUACCCCGCAGGCUCGCCUGAGAAACCCGCUUCUCCCGCACAUCUCGGGAGCUUACCCCCGAGAAAACUGCCACUUCUUCACGUCUACCACAUGAUCUCUCCUCAGGACAAAGUUACCAUGAUAUUCAUAUGAAAGUUAUUAGGCCUGUGUUGCAUAGCUUACCGUACUAUUUACAUGGAACGUAUCAGGUACUAUGCUUCAACAACUAGACCCUUUCAAAGUUACCACUAUGUUUUGUACACAAGUUAUAAGGUCUUCGAUGUGCAAAAUACCGUGGUACUUACACAUAAGUUAUCAGGGUAUAUGUACAUCAACCUCCCCCCGGUCAAAGUUACCAUGGGGGAUUGUACAUGAGUUACCAGGUCUACGGUUCGUAUAUUAUCAUGGUACUUGCACCUAAAAACCUGGGUGUGUUUCGGUAGCUUUUCUCAUAGGUCAAAAAUUACCAUGAUGUUUUUGCGUAACUUAACAUGCCUAUAGCACGUGUGCCCCUCGUGACACUAAACAUUAUGUGACUUUCUCGUGGCACGCCAUGUGUUGUGUUCAUCCAAGAGGCCCACGCGCGAGGCAAGUGUAUUUUUUUAACAACUUAUAUAUUUUCCUUUGGUAAAAAAGUUAUCAUCAUGUUUAUAUUGCAAGUUAUCGGUUAUGCGGUGCUUAUAUUAUCAUGUUAUUUACACAAAAAUUAUUGGGGAUGUUUUGAACAACUUUUUCCCGAGGUAAAAAGUUAUCAUGGUGAUUCUAGGUAACCUAUCAAGCCCGUAGUGCUUAAAAUAUCAUGCUAUUUACAUAAAAUUUAUCAAGGAUAUGUUUCAGCAACAAAUUCCACCCCCCCAUGGGUCAAAAAUUUAUCAUGGUGUUUAGUUAUCGCAGUGCAUAUGUUUUCAUACUAUUUACACAUAAAAAUGCCAGGGGAGGGAGGUAUACUACCGUGCUAUUUACACAGAAGUUACCGGAGUAUCUUAAAAAAAUUCCCUACGGUCAAAGUUACCAUGGUGCUUCUACCUCCGUUAUUAGAUGUGCGCUGCGUAUAUUACCAUCUAUUUACACAUAAACUAUCAGGUAUCUUUUCACAUUUGUUGUCCCCAAUGGUUAAAGUUACCACGAUGUUUGUAUCUAAAUUAUCAGGUCUAUGGCGUGAAUGUUAUCGUACUAUUUACAGAAAUUACCGGAGGGCGGGUUCAACAAAUUUAUUCACAAUGAUCAAAGUUACCACGAUGCUUGAAACAAAAAGUUGCUAAAGUAUUAAAGGCAAAAACAUGUCAAAAACAGUAUUACCCUUAGAAUGUUCAACAAUGAGUAUCAUAGGUGAGGUGGUUAGCUCCCUUUGUUAAUUACCUGCAGACCAGAGAUCAAAUCCUAGUCUAAGCAUUAUUUUUGCUCAAAAUUGAGAAGGCAUGUGGGGCCAUAAAUGACGAUUACGAAAAUUAGGAAGGCACAAGCGGGAGAGAAUUGAUGACAUUGGAUGCGUGUGGCAGUUUCGCAAUCUGCCACACGGUUGCCAUAUACAUAUUUCGUUAUCUAAAUAGUGUGUGGAAUUGUUUAUAUGGAUGAACAAAACAUUACUUGAAGUAGAGGUUCUGCCAAAAGAAAGAAAGAGCAUCUUGCAGGUUCAAGUUUGAGUAGUUGAGCCAGACAAUUUAUCGUAGGUGUUGUAUGUAAUAAUAAUUUAAUUAUUUUCAUAGGAGUACGACUCAUAGUAUCGGCAUGGAGGUCGUGAACAAAAGCAGAAGUAUCCUUAAUUUUUUAUUAGUGACUGUAAUUUUCCUUAUAAAGAACAUACUACUCUCGUGUAAACCCAUCCCUCUACAUAUGUACUGUCAGUUUUUUGCAAAUCGAACAAAUUGCGUAUGUAGCAAGUGCUAGUAUCUUGAAAUGCAGUUAUGCGUAUGCCCCUAAGAGUAGGUGAAUAGAAAACUCGAACAAAAAAUAGCUUUCUCCUAAUAGUAAUCGUGCUAGAACUCAUUCAAAGCUGAAGUGAACUAUAAUUAUAACCAGCCUUUGUCAAUAGAAGUCCUACUAAUCACAAAUUCCUCUAAUUUCCUCCAGACUCAAGAUCAAGAUGGUGGACAGUGCACGGAUAUUACAAAAUUAACAAUUCACAAUACGAAUUAAGUAUCACAAAUUGCAAGGCACAAGUUUUGAGCACAUACAAUCUUUCAUUGGUAGGCAGCACUACAACUUUGGAGGUCAACACAUUAGGCAAACUCUUUGGAAUUAAGAUAGUGAAAAGUAAAUGUAUGCGAAAGCAAGCUUCCAUUCGGUAAACCAUCAAGCCCAGAUUGCUGCACUCCGAAUUUCCUUUAGACUCAUACGCUACCUUCAGAUCAGCAAGCUUUAUGUUCAGCAAGUGUGUAACAAAACAAGAAUUGAACUGGAAUAGAAUUUGAAAUUUGAACUGAAAUACAAUACGAAAACUAAACUGAGUGUACUUUCAGAUUUUCACAUGGGCAUUAGUGCAUGAAGCAGCAAUGAAAUUGAACUGAAACAAAUUUCAGUUCAGCAAACUUAUAUGAAGUUAUAUGAAGCAUGCUUGAAUGCGUUGACCCGAAGCAUGCUUGUAGGAGAGUAGUGGCACUGGAAGGGAGCCUUUUGCUGAACUUAUAUGAAGUUAUAUGAACUUGUCUAACUUAUAUGGAACUUAUAUGAAGCCUUUUGCUGAACUUAUAUGAAGUUGACCAGACAAGAUGAUACCGGGGCGCAUCAGAAUAUAGGAGAGUGGUGAUGCAAGUCAGUCACCGGCUGGAUAAUGAAGCGGGUGGUAUGCGGCAUGGAGACAACCAGAAAAUGGGACAUCCAGGGGUAGGGAGCGUCGUCGCUGAAGAUCAGAGAGUGUGGAGCGCAGGCGUGCGGUGUCCCCCGGCCGGCAACGGAGACGAAGGAGAUCGGGGAUAGUGCACUUUUUUCGUCAGCCUGCAAGAUGCUCAAGGACCAGGACAACAUGUAGUUUCAGAAUUACAGAUUGUGGUCAGCUAUAGGAUGUUUCUGGGACCAUGUUUUAGCUACGAGAGAGCAACAACAUCACAUCAUGAGAGAGAGGAUGCAGCAUCAAAAAUUCAGGAGAAAGAUCAGAGCAGAGCAGAAGUAAAUAUGUUUUGAGGAGAUGAACUGACCAGGAUUUAAAUGAACUCUCACUAGCAGUAAUUUUUGUACUUCGCAUGUAGUACUACAUGGACUUGCUGUAAAAUACAUGGACCAUGUAGUAAUUUUGAAGUUAAUUAUAUGAUCAUCUCAGGGAGCUCAAGUUGUACUGAAAGCUCAAGUUGGACUGAAACUCACUCGAUAACUAAAACUCCUAGGGCGAGGGGUGGGAUCCAGGGUGCUGCUAGCAAUGAAUGGCCUGGGGUGGUGGCGUUGAACGGCCUGGAGUGGUGGCUGUGAACAGCCAGGGUGCUCCGGCGGCAGAGCCCCACCGGAGAUGGUGAUGCAAGCAGGAGGUCGGGAAGCAGUGGUGCCGGUGGUCGGGGUUGUCCAAUGCACACGGCACACCAGUACAGGAAGUUGAUUCAUCACCCAUCCACAGUUUUUUUCCUUUUGGGAAUCCAUUGAACUGAAAAAAGCUACAUGUGAGCUGAAAGUAUGAAAAUAACACAUCUUUGAAAGAAUAAAGAACUAGCUUUAACUUAUCUAUGAAAGAAUACACCUCCGAGGAACUAGCUUUGAACAUAUCUCUGAAAGAAUAGAGAGCAUGCAAAGUUCAAGGAAAGAAUAAGCAAAAUGGCACACUAGUACGCAGUAGUACGAGUCCAGUCAUGUACGUGCUAGUAUUAGAUUUGAAUAGUAGCUAGAAUUGAAGUUCAGGUAACCAUGGCACACACAUCAUACAGUUUUAGUCAUGUAUGCACACACACUGUAAUAGUAGCUGCAAUUAAAGUUCAAAUAACCACGGCACCCAUAACAGAACAAGAAUCAGUCUAGCAGCUAGGCAAGCAAGCUUCAUCAGCAUGAAUACACAUCAGCGGCAAGCUAGAACACGCUAGUAGGCUGUAGAAGUCUCCUUGUAAUUUUUCAAACAGAAGUGCUUUAGUUCAGUUCAGUAGUAAGGCAUGGAAAAAGAAAAGCAAUGGAAUAAACUAUAACCGAGCCAAAUAUGUAAUUUCAACAACCUAGACCUCAUUGCUUGACUUCAGUAGUAAUACAUGAUCAUCAGUUCAAUAUAAACAGACUGAUGUUAACAUCAUCGUACAUCCAUUGCCGGUUCAUCUGCGUGCAUUAUAUAUAAUUAAGUGUGUCAAAAACCAUUACAGAAUAGCAUGAAUACAAAAGACCAAAUUAAUAGAAGUUCAUCAUCACAUUAAAACCAAAGUACAGUAGUGAUCAAAUGUUGUUACUGAAAAAAUAAAUACAUAAAGUUCAUACAUAUAUAGUUCUCAUUGAACAACAUAUAUAUAGCUCUCUAGAGCAUCUAAUUAAACCAUACAUUGAAACAAUGUAAAAACAUUUCAAUGCAACAACAAAUGCGAUCAUAAUCGCAACUAAGGUAACAAUUGAUCCAACGGCAUAAUGAUGCCAAGCCUCGGUAUGAAUGGCAUAUUUUCUAAUCUUUCUAAUCUUCAAGCGCAUUGCAUCCAUCUUGAUCUUGUGAUCAUUGACGACAUCCGCAACAUGCAACUCCAAUCCCAUCUUCUCCUCCUUAAUUCUUUUCAAUUUUUUCUUCAGGUAAUUGUUUUCUUCUUCAACUAAAUUUAACCUCUCAACAAUAGGGUCGGUUGGAAUUUCCGGUUCACAUACCUCCUUGAUGAAAACAUCUAUGUCAUGUUGGUCGGCAUAAUUUUCAUACACACUAAAUGAACAAAAUAGUUAUAAAAUAUAAUAUAUACCACAUCGGAAUCAUAGACAGGACGAGGGCCGACGGAGGCGGAUACCAAAACCAUCGCACUAUAUGAUAACAAAAAAUAAUAAAAGUAAUAAAAUUAUACAAGUAUCUAUCUAAAUCAUACAAGUAAGAACUUUUUUCUUUUAGAAGAUAAGAACAAGAGGCUCACCACGGUGGUGCCAGCGACGAGAUCGGCGCGGGCGAUCGACAGCGGUGAGGACGGGGACGGGACAGGAUGGACCGCCAAACCUAGACAAAUCUUAAGGAAAAUGGAGUUUGGACAAGGAGCUUCGAGAGGAGAAAGCUUAAGUAUGUCUCGGACAUUUCACCGAACACCUCAUGUGCAUAGGAGGUGAGCUAGAGCACCACAAAGCUCUCCCACGGCCGGCCAAAAAAUAGAGCAAUGCACUGCUCUGCUCGCGGGCAGGGGGAUAUAUAGGCCUCUCUUUAGUCCCGAUUUGUGGCUAGAACCGGGACUAAAGGACCCCAUUUGGUCCCGAUUCCAACCACCAACCGGGAUUAAAGGUUGUGGGCCAGGAGCGAGGCCCAUUUGUCCUGGUUCGUGUCUGGAAGCGUGACCAAAGGGGUCAGACGAAUCGGGACCAAUGGCCCCCGAGGCCCUGCUGACGCCCUGGCUUUAUGAACCGAGAUUGAUGCACCCAUUAGUCUCGGUUCAUAGGGAAACCGGGAUUAAUGCCCUUUUCAGACCUGGACCAAAGCCCUAUUUUCUACUAGUGUUGUAGGCCUCGCUCACAUGAAGUAAGAACGGUCGGUGACGAUGCCUCAUAAAUCCAUGUGGUGCAAUCAUAGUUGGUGGUGCAGGGGAGGAAGUAACCUUCUUUGAUGGGGAUUCCAUCGCACGCUUGUUCGUCAUGUAGACGCGUCCUCUUAAUUUCUGUUCAGCUUUACAGGCAAGACGAAACAAAUGAUCGAUAGAAUAUAGUCUUCAUGCAUUAUUAUGUCUUGUAUAUCAUGGUUUAAACCUUUCCAAAAUCGAUUCAGAAAAUCUUCUUCGCAUUCUUGUAAGCCAGAACGAAACAAAGCAAUACACAAAUUGUCAUAAUAUUCUUCAACAAUGAUAUUGUCUUGUUCUAAACGUUUUAAUUUUCAAAGCAAAUCACUGGCAUGAUAUGAAGAACAAAUCGGUCUCGCAUAACAAGUUUUAAAUCUUUCCAAGUAGAAGGCCUAUUAUCAAUAUUUUUCCUGCAAUAAUUUCUCCACCAAACUGAAGCAAAACCUAAAAACAUCUUAGUGACAACAUUUAUUUUCUUAUGCUUGGGAAGUUCAUGGCUAGCAAAUAUUUCUUCUACCUCAAUUUCCCAAUCAAUAUAUGAAUCAGGGUCAUAUUUACCCUUAAAAUUUGGCAAAGAGGUAACAUGAUGAUGUGUGUUUCUACCAUGAUGUAUAUCAUGUGACGAUCGUCGUACCUUUUGUGGUGGGAAAGAGUGAUCUUUAUCAAUAUAUGGCAAGUCAUCUCCCACAAUAGAUGCACCCCAACUGUCAACCGCUCUAGAAUCUGCCAUGGUUAGUACCACACAAAAACAAAAAUAAUAAGUAUAAUGUUUCUAUAGUACUACUUGGAGGUGGCAGAAAAAUUCUCUCAACACUCUAGCAAUUACCAAGCUCUUACCAGAUCUUACCGUGCUGCAGUGGUUGUCGGCCUUUGGCGCCUUCAAAAGUUAUCAAAGUUGGAUAUAGUGAUUGCCAAAUCACCGAACAAGGUACAAUAUAGAAAGUGGAGCUUGGUGAAGGUUUUCUCAACUCACAAUAUCGGUGGCACAAUUUUGCUAAAAGUAAUGCAAGAUGAAUAAUUGCUCAAACUCCUAACUAGUGCUGAUAGUCGACUAGUAAGAGAUAAAAUAAUCUAAGCCCAGAUACUGAAUCAAGCGAGAGGGAACUGACGAAAAUAUAAUAGCUCCAAGUAGCUAGAUAUAAGUGAGGUAUGAACGUAGUGUAUGGCAACCAAGAGCAGACAAAAAAAUCCAACACUUAUCACUUAUAUGAAUAGAGCAGGCUGAACAGCAAAAGAGAUUUUUCAAAAGAUGCUAGCUGGCCAAAACUUUGCAUCAAAUUUUUUUAUUCUUUUUUCUGAAUUUUCCUUUUUCUUCAACUUUCAGGCCGGCCGCUAGUAGAAGUCACGGACACAAAUAUCUGACCAAACAGGUAUGAAGGGGUGGCCGGGGCACAUCUGGUGUAGCCCAUUGGCGCUGUCCAGCGGUAAAAGAUCUCAUGCCAUUGCUGAAAUUCACGUCCCCCACCCAGGGCAUUUUGGUCAUUUUGCAUCUAUGCCCUUUUCCGAUUCGCUGCAUCCUCCCCCAAUGAGUGCCUCCCUCAUUUUUCUAUCCCUCACAUCUCUCUCGGGAGAGAGUCGCUGCCGCUAGUCAUCCUCCCCGUCUGCCGCCGCUGCCGCCAACCAUCCGCAGCCGCGCCACCAUCCCCUCCCCGUUCCUCUCCCGUAGCUGAGCCAGCCAUGGCCAGGAAGAAGUGCAAGUCCUCUUCCUUCCUCCCUCACCCCUGAUCUGAAUCCUCUCCCGGAACCCCAGCCAGCCGCACGCAUCCCAUAUGGCGCCGCCCAGCUCGCAGCCCUCGGCCGCCGAGCCAUCGCGAGGCUCCUCGCGCAAGCGCACGACCUCCUCAAAGGCUGCGCCCGAGGCCGACCUGGAGUUCACCGUCACCAAGGAAAGGUAAGGGGAGGGGAGGGGAUGGAAGGGAUCGAGCGACCAGGUGAGGAAGCGCCCAGAUCCACAGGGCCAUCGACACUUCGUCAUCGACCUCAUCCGCGACCGUCCUCGAGGUCGGCCAUGGUGGUCCGGCCGGCAACAGCCAUGGAAGGAGAGGCCCGAAUCCCUGGCCCUCCAAGUACGCGCCUGCUGCAGGCCAUCUCCGGCGAGCUCAUCCACAGAUCUCCAACUAUGGUGCGUGCGCAUGAUACCUAAACCCCUUGUCUUGUCGGUUUCUUCAUCUUCCCUCCUUGUGAUUCCUUGGUUUGUUUUGUGCGCAGUUGCUCCGAUCUGGAAGAGGUGGUGGAGCUUUUGUUGUUGCUGCUGUAGGUGGACGAGGCACCACCCUCUCUUUCUACUUCUGGACACAACCUGGUGGUGAUUGCAAAUUUCAGUGUUAAAAAAUUCAGUUCAAUUCAGUCAUGUUCUUUUUCUUUUGUGGGGAAAUUCAGUCACAUUCAAUGUUCAACUUUUAGAGUUAACAAACUGUUGUUAUGACCACUAUGGUUUAGAUGUUCAGAAAUUCAGACAAAUGGUAUGAUGAAAUGAGCCACCUUUUAACCCCCUACUAAACCUACCGUGAACGUGAGAGAGCCAAUGCAGGGAGGUGUGGACAUUUUACCAUGUUCAUAGGAAGAAAUCAACAUAAAAUACACAGCUUGUAGAUGAUUCGUCAACCACCAUCAAACACGACUUGUAACUUUCUGGACUAAACUGAACCGUGCAAUUGACUCAAAAUAAAACUAAACCGUGCAAUUGACUCAAAAAUAAAUAGUAAAUAUACUUUGGUUGUGUCUGCAGAAUUGCAUUAUGGAAAGAUGUGUGUGAGGUUACCCCAUCGCCACUGGUUCCAACUUUGUCCAUCAUGUCGCUCUGAUGAGAAGACCUUGUCCAUGUUUCAUUAAUAGGGCAGAGUGCUGCUGAAGUAUCUAUGUUGAACAAUUAUAACAGUACCAAGUAAGUUUGCUCCAAUUGCAUUUGAUGCAGAAGGCACAACACCGCCAUCAUGCGUCAGGUUCAGUAGAAGGCACGACACCGCCACGCUCUCCUCCACUACAAUGCCAUGCACCCGGUAAUUAAACAUGCUUUCUCUUCAUUCNNNNNNNNNNNNNNNNNNNNNNNNNNNNNNNNNNNNNNNNNNNNNNNNNNNNNNNNNNNNNNNNNNNNNNNNNNNNNNNNNNNNNNNNNNNNNNNNNNNNNNNNNNNNNNNNNNNNNNNNNNNNNNNNNNNNNNNNNNNNNNNNNNNNNNNNNNNNNNNNNNNNNNNNNNNNNNNNNNNNNNNNNNNNNNNNNNNNNNNNNNNNNNNNNNNNNNNNNNNNNNNNNNNNNNNNNNNNNNNNNNNNNNNNNNNNNNNNNNNNNNNNNNNNNNNNNNNCAAGAUCUCAAAGAGGUGCCGGCGAACCCAGGCCACACCCAACGCGCUGGGGGGCUGUUGGGGGCGCCAGCGGAAGCAACAGCCAAUCAUAUUCCUCCAUGUAUCAUUUUUUCUGGUCCACUCAUUCACUUUUUGCCUGGCGACUGUCCUGGGGGCACCAACGGCUGGGAAACCGUCCUUGUGUUUCAUUCGGCGAAGGUGUUUUGCCCCCCAGGACGUGCUAUAUUUGGCCCGACGAUUGUCCUGGGGGCUCCAACGGUUGGAGAUGCUCUAAUUCAUUGUAUUUGCAUGUUUCCAGCAGCCAUGUAUCAAAAAAAGCUUCAGCUUUGGGUUGUUGAUUUAGCAGCAUCAAUCAUUAAUUGUUCUGCUAUAUAUGUUCUUAACCAUGACAACCUGAUUAGGCUCUUAGUUUAUUAUGGUCUUUGUUCUGGGUGGAUCUCUGACUAUUCUGGGUGGGCAUGAAUCUCUUCUUUGUUUCUUCAUCUCCUCUUAUUCUGAUUCCUGCAUUUGUUUUAUGUGAAGGUUGCUCCGCUGAGGACAAGCUGCUUCUGCAGGUGGACGGGCCCUCAAGGCUGCUCUGCCUAUUCCUCCUGCUACCCCCACACGUGGUGAGCCCCAUCCGUUCUCGAGCUACCCCUGCAAAUCUGAUGUGAUGUGCACAAAAUACUUGCAAUUGUUCUCGACACAGGAGCAUGUCAUGUAUUGUUCUAUUUGAAUGUGCAAUUUCAUUGCUUCUGUGAUGUUUGAUGCUUGCUUCACAAGAGGGAAAUCAUGGAUAUAAACUGUGCUUCCUUUCAAGUUGAAUAGUAAUGAUCACCAUUUGGUUCCAUUUUCUCCUCUGCAUCCAGUGUUCACUCUCUCAUAGAUGUCCAUAUAUACAUAGUUCUGAUCUCCUUUUUUCUGCGGCUCCAUACAGCAAACACAAAGCCGUCGAUGCAUUGAGGGCUCAAUGUCGUCUCCGCCGGCUGAGCGGCAAGCCGGGGUUGGGCCUGCACACCGUCUAUCAGCACCCUCCCGUGUCUCCAUUCACGGAUCUGCAGGUCAACCCCUCUUCUCCUCCUAUCCACGCAUCUUCUUUUCCAGAGCUAGGUGUAUGGUUGCAUGGCAAUUUGUGUUUAGGGGCUCACCAUGUUCUGCUUGCCCUGGUUGGCCAAUGAGGCUUUCCUUUUCUUGUAAAGGCCAAAUGUACAAUUCUCUAUGCUUUAUAUUUUUGUAGUUCCUUUGUUUCCAUGCUAGUUUUUUGAUGGGGUGUAAAUAUAUGCUUUUUUGUUCCUUGUCUGGAUUCAGGUAGGGCCUAACAUUAUUGUUCCUUUGUGCAUGGAAAUGUUGGUGGUUUUGUUCCUUUGUGUAUGGAAGGGGGCCUUGAUUAGAAUUUUUAACGUUUGAGUUGUAAUUAGUGUUUUUGUUACACAUGAAAACAUAUGGUUGUUUGUCCAAUCACAUAUGAAAAAGAGAUGAUUGUUUGUCCAACAAUUUUCUUUCUCUGUGAUAGUUUUACUAGAAAUAAAGCAUAGUCACUAUUACAUCCUAUUUUAUAUCUUGUUGUGUCGUGAUAUCUAUAUAGACUCUGUCUACGUCCUUUUGACAUUCCAAGUUUUGUUUUUCUAUGGCUCAAUUAGUUACCCCGUAUCAAGAGAAAUUUAACUGGUAUUUGCGGUAGAGUUAGCUGAAUUCAUGAAGCAAUGAUUUAGUUAUUAUUAAAGCUGAAACACAACAUGUUUUGACAAAUGCGUUCUAAGUAAAGCCUCCAACUAACAUAACCAAAAACAUAUUCUUUAGGUUUAUCAUCUAUUGAAGUAUUAUGUAGAAUUUUAAAUCAUACGAGGCAAAGCAAAUGAGCUCUAUGCACUUUCCAUGUAGCACAAAACAAAAAUAAUCAUGUAUAUUUUGGAUGCACCUAGAUAUACUCAUCAGCAAGGCUGAGGUUAUAGGGCAGGGCACUCACCCACAUUGUCGACAUCUCCGUCACUAUGAUCACCCACAUGAUGGACAAUUCCCUUCUUUCUUUUCUCUGUGGCUAUUGACACUUAAUGCUAUUACUGUGUGCAUAUAUGUACUGUGAUCCAUUCUCAUUCUUCAUAUCUUGAGAAACUAUCUCAAGAUACUCGCAUUUGUGUUUUGAAGAAAGCCUAUUCUAUGAUUAAUAUAUCAAGUAUGGAUGGCGCGAUAUCACCUCUCUUUAUGAUGAUGUUCUUACAGAAUAUAGGUUUUAUGGUAACACGUCUUAGCCAACACCUAUACUGAUGCUCAGACCAGAUGAUUAUAGGCUCUCCUUGCUAUUUUUCUUGAGGUGUGUACAUCUAUCUAGACAAUUUAAUUAAAAUAUAUAUUCCAUACAAACCAUCAAUACAUGUUAGUUGACUUUGAAACUAAUCAGUAAAAAGGUUGUCCCUUUCGCAUUUUAUGGACAUAAAGAUUUGGUGUUGACUGUCGAUCUUUAGUUAACACAUGACCUUACAACCGUAGGGAGUGGGAAAAAACUUAUAUGUUUGGCACAUUUGAAGAACAUAUCAUAGUAACGAAGUUUUGGUAAACAAUGUCCUAGAUCUCAACCAUAUAGAAAUACUAAAUAUAUGUUUAUUUGUAUAUGGAUUAAUUAUACAGACUUAUAAAACCUUGUGCAGGGCACAUAAAAGAAAUUUGAAAUAACUAUUAUUUCAAUAUUUGCUUUUUCAGUUGAGCAUAAUAGUUUAUAGCCUGAUAGGCUUGGACAUAAUUGUCUACAUGUACUGCUCAGUAGGCGACAUCCUUUGGGAAAUUGAGGAUGUCCUCGUGCAUUUUCUAAAUACAAUUGGGGCAUAUCUGAGGAAUGAAGGGAGGAAUAAUCUCGUGGGAGAGUUCGGUGCAGAGGAAGAAGAACAAGAUAUUAUUUAUUUCUUGUGUACAGUCAAGCUUGUGCAUUGUCCCACUGUAAGUUAUUUCAACAAUAGUAGUAACUGUUAUCUCUGGCCAUCUGUUGCGACAUUUUCUUUAACCACCAAUGCAUAUUUAUUUUCUUGUUAAUAACUCUCAUAAUUGCCUGCUACUGUUUCAGUUCUGGGGCCAGGCAACCUUGAAUCCAACGUCCACCUGCAGGCUACAUCUCAGGUAGGAUAAAAAGAUUGCAGUGAACUUGAUGGGUAUAUCAUUAUUGUUGCCUCCUAAUUUGUGUGAUGAGCAAAUGUGUAGAUUGUGUGUAAAUCCGAGAUGCCUAAAACGGUUGGGAACUGAACUUGUUACCUCGGUUCACUUUAAUGGCAUGUUAAACUCGAUGCACUUUCUGGACUGUGACAUUUUUCCUGAAAUUUUGGAAGUGACUGCUAAUGUAGUCUAAAUAGAGUGACUGAGUAGUUACUUUCUCACAAGAGUUGACUUCCCGUUAUUGGAGUACUUGCUAAGAUGGAUUGGUGGUUUUUAUGUUAGAUGAAAAAUAUUACAUCAAUCUUUACGGCUUUUUAUGGGCAAGUGAUUCCGACUCCAUAAUAAGGAAUAAUAUAGCCCUAGUGCUGUGAUAAUGUUAAAACAUUUACCUCUUUUAUCGGUUCAUGUUAUGUAUUUGCUGCGAAAAAAUGGUCUUAUAUCAAAUAAUAGCCUAGAGCUUUUGGAGUGUUAUUACUUGUAUUUGUUGCUUGGAUGUAUAAACCUUCAACAGACUGUCAAUUUUGCUUUUAUAUAAUCUGUUUGUUUAAGUCUGCUGCAUAUUGGUCAAAAGCUCAUGCUAAUUGAUGAUGUUAGGUGAUGAUCUUGUAUCUAACAGUGAUUUCUGAAUGCAUGCUAAAGAAAACUCAUGAACAUCAUGGCGCCUUGUUGAUGGGGUGAUCAAUAGCUACUAUAUUGGGACCCUGAACUUAAAUUGUAGGUCUGAUUUUGUUUCGGAGUUCUCCUGCUACCCACAAGCUUAGAUAGUUCUUUUGUUUGUGCAGGGGAAAUUGCAAAGCAUAUUAUGAAUUGUUACAAGAAACUAUUUCUGCUGUUUUGGUGCAAGGACGUUGCUUUUUAGUAUGCUUCCCGUAUCUUGGUAUCUUGGAAUAAUAAACAGAUAGAUGUCGUGUACCAAGAUUGUUCCUUGUUGUUAAGAGGGAUACAAAUAUUAUACAAGAUUUUUUCUGAUGACUCCUAAAGCAUAUUUGGAUAUACAGCAAAGUAUAUUGUCGCUUCCCUGUUAGUAAAACGAUUAUUUUAGAAAUUUGGUUGGCAGCCCCUACAUUUGGCUGAUUGCUAGCUUACUGGAUUACUCAUGUUUGCGGACUCUGGUAACUUAUGCCUACCAAGAACUACAUGAAUUUUGUGUCUUGCUGCAGUGAACAUUACCAAACUAAUUCUAGAGGUGUUAUAAUCAUGUUUUCUUUUGCAUUAUCAACUUUUAACUUUUGUCAUUUGUUAACACAUUCCUUUUGCAUUAUCAACUUUUAACUAUUGUCAUUUGUUAACACGAUUAUUUAGUAUGUUCACUAUGCGAGUACUCCCUCCGUCUGAAAAUACUUGUCAUCAAAAUAGAUAAAAAGGAAUGUAUCUAGAACUAAUAUACAUCUAAAUACAUCCCCUUUUAUUCAUUUCGGUGACAAGUAUUUCCGGACGGAGGGAGUAGUAAUAAUAGGAGCUAUUUAUUUGCCAGAUAACUAACACUAUUCAUAUGGCAUAAGGGUUAGAAAAAGAACUGUAUUCUUGCUGUGUUGAUUUUCGUAUGGCACACUAUGGAUUCUUUGUGUAACACAUAAUGUCGAUCAACAUGUGUUUACAACGCAGGGAGGAGCCGGGCGACAAGGCAGUCAGACCAAACUCUCUUUCCAUAUAUAUAGGUAGUCUGAUGUUAUGCCAUAGCCGAACCAUAUAUGUUUCGUGUACUGCUCUAUCAAUCUGGUCUUUUGGUAUAUUAGACUCUAUCCUUUGUAAUGAACUUAUUGUCAUGGGCGAUCAUUAUGACUGGAUCGUAUGGUAUGAAUCGGGUCUUUAUGCUUUGUGAUGAAAUAUCAUAUUAUCCUGUUCACCAGUUUGGUUUGGUUUUGAGCUAAAACGUAUAAAAAUACAUGGCUUACAACAAUGGAUAUAUGUGAUGAUAUAUUGAGUGAUUAAGCAUAAUUUUAGACUUUCGGUGCUGGACCAAUGGGAUGCAUGGGGUAAUUGAAUGUUUCUUCUUCACUUUUUAUUAUCGGUUGGGAUCAGCACUCUCGCGCGAUCUAGUUAUGAUGAUGCUGCCUAUACAAAGCAAAUCUAUGUGGCUAUAAAGUGGAGCACCAUGGCGAACAAGAAACUGGCGCUUGAGGACAGACAUGAGUGGAACUGAUGUCUGAUGCAACACGGCGUUGCUGUACGCGUCAGGGCAGACAGCAACGACGUGUAACAGAUGGGAUGUCGGAUUGCACGCAAAACAAAGGAAUCCAAUGCAAUUUUGAUAGUUUUUUUUUCAGAUUAUGGACGAGCUUGCGGCGGAAACCAUGGUGGAGAAAAAAAAGUUCGAUCUAGUAGACAAAAAUUUCUCAUACAAAUCUAAACCAGCACUAUUUGUAGGAUGAUGCAACCAAAAAUUCAACUACGCAAGUACUAGAUGCAAAAAUUGCUAACGGCUAAAAAGAUAGGUGCAAAGGAUGAACUAAUCUUUCUUUCUUUUUUGGCUUUUUUUGGGUUAUAGGACAUGAAAAAUAAGCUAAUCUAACAAAACUGUAAAUCUCUCACCGCUGAAAGUGAAAACUGAUACCACUUAUGUGACGGCGGCCCGAUGUUUCGAUGAGAGUGAGGAUAACUAUCAAUUUGAUGGAUUCUGAUCUUGACGCUCCGGCUAUACAAUACCCGACGAUAUGCCUCGACAAUCGCUAAACCAAUCUCCGAUGGUUAUUGACCUUGCCGUAGGCACGGUCAACCUGAACGACGAGGUUUGAGUUCCUGCAAGUAACUAAAGAACCGGCAAGAACAAAGGUGAAUUGCAAUCUGAAAUUGCGAAUGAAAAAUUAAGCACAUGAACUAGAUCAAAAGUUGGAGUUCCACUUUGGAUCUGACAAGGCGGUAGUCCUACACGUCUCAUAGAUGCGAAACUGUAGCAUGGCUAAACAAUACAAUAAAACCCGCGUAAACCCUAGAAUAUGAUGACUAUUUAUUAAAGGCCGGCGUGGAGAAUGCUUCGUCUAUUUUCUUGGAAGUCAAGACGGGCCUGCUAAUUGGCCGGACACACACGCGAUCUGAUUUGAAAAUAAACUUCUCAUAUCAAUCUGGUGGCAAACUGCCUCAUCGGUACUAUAGGCCCAGAUGCGCAACACACAAGGCCAUGCAUGGGCGCAAAACCUAUACGACGCCCUCAGCGUCCGAUACCAUGUUAACGGUACAGGGCACAGAACGUCGUGAGACAGUUCGGUCCAUAUCCGGUGUGGGCAUUAGAGCAUUGAGAGGACCUUUCCCUAGUACGAGAGGACUGGGAAGGACGCACUUCUGGUGUAUCAGUACACCCCCUUGUCACGAUGGGCCGGCCCACAUUCCUUUUUUUCUAUAUUAAAGACGCCGAAAAAACUGAAUGUAAGCACCAUGAUUCAAACCGGCAAUCGACUGGUUCAACACACACCACCUAACCAAUAGGCUACAUGUUGUUGACGUGGUUAGUUAUAGCUUUUCCUUCUUUUCUUCUUUGUACCUUCUUUUUUGUUUUUUUGUUCGAACGGUUUUGUUAGUUUUUAUUAUUUUCCAUCUUAAUUUUUUUCAAUAAUACAACAUUUUUCGUUUCAAUUUCGUGAACUUUUUUAAAAUUCGAUAUUUUUUUUCAAAAUUCAAUGAACUUAUUUUCAAAUUCGAUGAACUUUUUACAAAUUGGAUGAACUUUUUUCAAAUUUGAUGAACCUUUUUUUAAACUCGAUGUUUGUUUUCAAAUUUGCCAACUUUUUUGAAAAUUCAUGUACAAUUAUGAAUUCAUGAAUUUUUUGAUAUUUUUUUAAUUUUGCAAAUUUCCCCUUUUUAGUUUUUUUAAAUAGCAAUGGUUUUUUCGACAAGUGCUUGCAAGAGAAAAAAGGCUAGCAAAGGAGCGAGCAGCGACCGAUUGAGCCAGCAGCAGCGGUCGAGCGAGUAGUCGAGCGAUUAGCAAUCGAGCGAGCAGCGAUCGAGCGAGCCAGCAGCAGCGGCCGAGCGAGCAGUUGAGCGAUUAGCGAUCGAGCGAACAAAUGCAUGUUGAUUCAAUAAUGCUCAAGUGUAAAUAUUCUGUAUUAAACUUCGCAUCUUCACCCGAGGUUUGUGCAUCUCUUCUUUAAUCCUGCAUAUAAAAUAUUGUGUUGUAUUUUUGUUUCGGAUAACAAAAUAAUAAUUCAUAUAAUUUCUAUUAGAAUUCACCUGAUAAUUAUCUUUACGCGCAAUAAUUGUGGUUAUAUCCGUACGGGUCAUGUUUAUAUCAGGUAGUUAAUCUUCUUUUUCUUAUCCGCAAGACACUUCUUCACAUGCUCAUCCAAGAGGGUUUCGGCUGCCAACAUGAUCAUCGCAUCCACCACGUCCUGUGAGAUUCGCAACCUCUCCUUCUCAAGCUCUAUGUCGCCAAAUGUCUUGGCCUUCUCGAGUUCCCAUUUGAUCGCCACCCCUUGGUGGUCCACCAUGUCCGAACCUCCUUGCGCCGCCGCCGCCUCCCUCUCUCGCUGCAGGCGUUGCCGCAACUUCUGGGCGGCGUCCUCCGCCUUGCAAGUCAGAGCCGACGAAGGGACGCCGACGGACAAGGCGGACGGCGUCUUUGUCGCGGUGGUGGAUCGGGACCGGUGGUGAGGAUUGGGAGCAAGGGUGGAGGACGGCGAGGGUUCGGGCGCGGGAAAAGUUGGAGGGCGGCGGGAGGAGGAGAAAGGGUUUGGUGCAUUUGGCACAAUUUUCAAUGGGGUCGGGCUGACGGGUCCGACGUGGCGGGCGCGCCCGGGCGCCCCAUAUUUGGGCUAGAUAUGAGGGGUGCCGGUCAGCCCAGGCGUUCGAGGCCCGUUUAAGGAGCCCGUCUGGAUCGAAAAAUCGUGACCGGGUGGCCCACCCGGGUGUAUGAGCCAGGCUUGAGGUGCCCGACUGUAGAUGCUCUAAUCAUCUAGAUCUGACGCUCAAAGGCUCCACCCUCCCCCACGACUUGGGUUCGAGCGCCUCCCCAAAACUUCGUCGGGAUCCGCCACAACCGGCAACGGCGAGGCCAGAGGUGGCCGGAUCCGGCACAGGUUGGUCUCUCCCCUCCUUCUUCGCCCACCCUCUCCUCCUUACCUCACGCCACUUGUCUUCCCUUUUUUGCAGGUCGCCAUGGCGCGGACGGCGAUGACGGCAGGAGGGGCACACACAUCCGUGGAAUGGGACGCCGCCAUGGAGAUGGAGAUCCUUCUUCACACCACGCAGAGGCCCCAUGGAGCCUCCCUCCUUCUUCGGUGACUUCUUCUCAGGCCCCACCACUACCUCUGCCCUCCCCCCUCCUCUACUUUGAGUUGCACCAUGCUUUGUUUCAGAUUCAUCCACCCAUGGGUGAUACAUGGGAAGUUAGGGGUUGCUGCAGUUUGAGGUUAAUCCCUUGAUUGGCUGUUGUUUCGGGUUGAUUAGAUUAGUUAGCUCAGUUGGCUGCUAGACUUUAGGAGUGCAUACAUGGGUAUAACAUGCUCUGCACAUUUAGGAUUGAAGUAUUGUGUUGCAGCACUCAGUGACGUUAAUUUAGGGCAUUUCAGUGUCAGUUCCACUAUAUUUCGGGGGACAUUUAACAGUGCAAUUUCAUGGUUAUUACAGUGUAAUUUCAAGGUUCUUGCAUUCUAAGUUCAGAGAAUUACAAUGUUAGUUUAUGUGAAUUCCCGUGCAUUUUACUGUGUAAUUUAAGUGCAAUGGAAAUUAUAGUGUAAAUUCAGUGUAAUUUACUAUGUAAAUUUACGGAAAUUACACUGUAAUUCGUGUGCAACUUUUAGUGUAAUUUACACUAUAAUUUCAACGGGUUUACAGUAGAGUAAUUUAAGUGUAAUUACAGUGUGCACUUUAGAGCAAUCAUACUAUAUAUUUAGUGAAUUUAAAGUAUCACUCCAUACCUUUCGGGUUUGUCUUUUUUCUCUACAAGUUACUGCUAUACUGUUGAUUGAUUCUACCCUUGCGAAAGAAACUUUGAUGAGCACAUAAUUUUCUACUAUGUAAUUUGAGCAGCUUGGUAACCGUAAUUUUCAGUUUCCUUUGACCCUAGGCCCUUGUGCUUUAGAAUUGCUAUUUUUUGUCAGUGUACAUGCUAGAUCAUGUGGUUUAUGAUACUUCUCUGGUCCUUAUAAACAAAGUGACAUGUUUGUACUGUGGAAUAGAAAGAAUAUUUCAGUGUCUCUCUUUAGGCCUUUUGUCGAAUUGUUAUGUGGUCCAGUGCAGCCUUACGAAACCGGGUUCUAUGCAGUUCAUGUACAGUGCAAAACUCAUUAUUGCAGGUCAGGCCUGUAGCAUGUCUUGGGUCAUUGACAUGCAGGAAAGAAGGAAAAAGGACAUAGAAGUAUCAUUUUGUUAUUGGUCAAGAAAAUUUGAAUAAUGUCCAACUGAUUUCAGUUGAAUGACAAAUAGACAAUCCCUUGUUUAAUCAGUAGAUAUACACCAUUAACUCAAAUAGCAAAGAAAUACUAGUCCAUUUAUAAUCGAUGAUUGCGCAUGAUGCAUCCAUCCAUUCUAUCGGAGAGGCUGUGUUUUUUUUCUUCUUGUGCUAAGGUUGAUAGCAUCACAUAUCUUAUGCUUUUGUUUCUCAAGUAGAGCCUUGAGAUAGAUGUGUCUGCAACCGUCCUCGAAUGGUUGUGCAAUAAUAAUGGUCCUAGCUAAUUACUAGUAUGCACUGCUUAUAAAACAACUUGUUGCUCGUUUCACUUUGAGUAUGCUGUUGCUGCUAAAGUAGCAACAACAACAGCCAUGCUUUGGUUCCCCAAAAUUCAGAUGGCACUGGCAUCUCUACAUACACACACAUAUAUGAAUAUGCACCUCAGUUUGGUUCAGUUUGCAUGUGUACCGUUGCUUUAACUUUGACUGAAACUAUCUUGGUGGCACUUGCAUCAAUGUUGUGCUCUGCCCUUGUAUAUGUCCUUGGAGAAGAUGACCAUUGGACUGUAGGGGACGAACAACCUUGUCCUGCUCGAGGAGGAGGAGGAUGGCCACCCUGAGCUCGAGGACGACACGACAACAGGAGCACUCACCUCCCUACUAAGGUGAAGGUCCGAUCCGCCUGUUUAGAUGGUCUGCUCUUGUCUUGUGAUCUGAGGGGAGAAGAAAGCCAUUGGCCUCAAUUAUAUUUGCAUGUGAGGGGAGCGAUCCUUUUGGUAGAUGCAGAGUAUAGAUUACAUAUUCCACAAAACUCACCACACGAGUAUACUAACUAUAUCCACAAAAUUCACCACACGAGCAUACUACCUAUGUCCAAAUGUGGGUUUGAUACUUUCGACAUGAAACAUGAAUAUCAGGUUGGGAGUUUGGAGUUUAAUCAAAUAACGCAGCAAGGCGAUCAUCGGUAGGGAUGCACCUUUGAGGCGGCAAGGAGGGCUUCUCAAAGGCAGUACACAUGGCUUAUUACUGCUUGUAUGUGAGUACGCAGAUGUGGCGUCUAUGGAUAGAGGGUUAGGGGCGCAACGCAAGCGGCAGUAGGGGAUACACAACCUGAUUUGAUUUGGUCAAUCACGGGAAAUGGGAGAAGGCCUAGGGUGCAAAGUUUAGAUCGGUGGGUUGGUAGCGUUAGGCAUAAUAGAGAUCAAACCUUUUUCAUAGGCGUAUGUAGGUUAUUUCCUUGAAGCAUUUUAUCAAAAUGGUGUAGGCGGGUAAUAUCUCUCAACUUAAAUGUGAAGGGGAUAUAUUAUUUCCUUGUAGAGGCCGAGGAAUACAUGGCGUACCGCUACAUAUGCAACCAUGAUUUUUUGUGGAUGGUUACGAGAGAACCUGAAAGAUACCAUGGACCGAAGCAUGGGCACAUGAAGUUCCUGUUGGGGAACGUAGUAAUUUCAAAAAAAUUCCUACGCACACGCAAGAUCAUGGUGAUGCAUAGCAACGAGAGGAGAGAGUAUGAUCUACGUACCCUUGUAGAUCGACAACGGAAGCGUUAACUUGGUUGAUGUAGUCGUACGUCUUCACGGCCCGGCCGAUCAAGCACCGAAACUACGGCACCUCCGAGAUCUAGCACACAUUCAGCUCGAUGACGAUCCCCGGACUCCGAUCCAGCAAAGUGUCGGGGAAGAGUUCCGUCAGCACGACGGCGUGGUGACGAUAUUGAUGUACUACCGUCGCAGGGCUUCGCCUAAGCACCGCUACAAUAUUAUCGAGGACUAUGGUGGAAGGGGGCACCGCACACGGCUAAGAAUAUGAUCACAUGGAUCAACUUGUGUCUCUAGGGGUGCUCCCUGCCUCCGUAUAUAAAGGCUCAAAGGGGGAGGGGUGGCCGGCCAAGAGGAGGCGCGCCAGGAGGAGUCCUACUCCCUCCAGGAGUAGGACUCCCCCCCUUUCCUAAUUGGAAUAGGAUUCGCGGAGGGGGGAAAGAGGAGAGAGAGGAGGAAGGGGGGGGCGACCCCCUCUCCUUGUCCUAUUUGGACCAAAGGGGGGAGGGGCGCGCGGCCCAUAUCUGGCCACCUCUCCUCUCUUCCACUAAGGCCCACUAAGGCCCAUAUACCUCCCGGGGGGUUCCGGUAACCUCCCGGUAAUCCGGUAAAAUCCCGAUUUCACCCGGAACACUUCCGAUAUCCAAAUAUAGGCUUCCAACAUAUCAAUCUUUAUGUCUCGACCAUUUCGAGACUCCUCGUCAUGUCCGUGAUCACAUCCGGGGCUCCGAACAAACUUCGGUACAUCAAAAUGCAUAAACUCAUAAUAUAACUGUCAUCGAAACCUUAAGCGUGCCGACCCUACGGGUUCGAGAACAAUGUAGACAUGACCGAGACACGUCUCCGGUCAAUAACCAAUAGCGGCACCUGGAUGCUCAUAUUGGAUCCUACAUAUUCUACGAAGAUCUUUUAUCGGUCAGACCGCAUAACAACAUACGUUGUUCCCUUUGUCAUCGGUAUGUUACUUGCCCGAGAUUCGAUCAUCGGUAUCCAAUACCUAGUUCAAUCUCGUUACCGGCAAGUCUCUUUACUCGUUCCGUAAUCCAUCAUCCCGCAACUAACUCAUUAGUCGCAAUGCUUGUAAGGCUUAUGUGAUGUGCAUUACCGAGAGGACCCAGAGAUACCUCUCCGACAAUCGGAGUGACAAAUCCUAAUCUCGAAAUACGCCAACCCAACAUGUACCUUUGGAGACACCUGUAGAGCUCCUUUAUAAUCACCCAGUUACGUUGUGACGUUUGGUAGCAUAAAAAGUGUUCCUCCGGCAAACGGGGGUUGCAUAAUCUCAUAGUCAUAGGAACAUGUAUAAGUCAUGAAGAAAGCAAUAGCAACAUACUAAACGAUCGGGUGCUAAGCUAAAGGAAUGGGUGAUGUCAAUCAGAUCAUUCAUCUAAUGAUGUGAUCCUGUUAAUCAAAUGACAACUCUUUGUCCGUGUUUAGGAAACAUAACCAUCUUUGAUUAACAAGCUAGUCUAGUAGAGGCAUACUAGUGACACUCUGUUUGUCUAUGUAUUCACGCAUGUAUUAUGUUUCCGGUUAAUACAAUUCUAGCAUGAAUAAUAAACUUUUAUCAUGAUAUAUAAGGAAAUAAAUAAUAACUUUAUUAUUGCCUCUAGGGCAUAUUUCCUUCAGUCUCCCACUUGCACUAGAGUCAAUAAUCUAGAUUACACAGUAAUGAUUCUAACACCCAUGGAGCCUUGGUGCUGAUCAUGUUUUGCUCGUGGAAGAGGCUUAGUCAACGGGUCUUCUACAUUCAGAUCCGUAUGUAUCUUGCAAAUCUCUAUGUCUCCCACCUGGACUAGAUCCCGGAUGGAAUUGAAGCGUCUCUUGAUGUGCUUGGUUCUCUUGUGAAAUCUGGAUUCCUUUGCCAAGGCAAUUGCACCAGUAUUGUCACAAAAGAUUUUCAUUGGACCCGAUGCACUAGGUAUGACACCUAGAUCGGAUAUGAACUCCUUCAUCCAGACUCCUUCAUUCGCUGCUUCCGAAGCAGCUAUGUAUUCCGCUUCACAUGUAGAUCCCGCCACGACGCUCUGUUUAGAACUGCACCAACUGACAGCUCCACCAUUUAAUGUAAACACGUAUCCGGUUUGCGAUUUAGAAUCAUCCGGAUUAGUGUCAAAGCUUGCAUCAACGUAACCAUUUACGAUGAGCUCUUUGUCACCUCCAUAUACAAGAAACAUAUCCUUAGUCCUUUUCAGGUACUUCAGGAUGUUCUUGACCGCUGUCCAGUGAUCCACUCCUAGAUUACUUUGGUACCUCCCUGCUAGACUUAUAGCAAUGCACACAUCAGGUCUGGUACACAGCAUUGCAUACAUGAUAGAGCCUAUGGCUGAAGCAUAGGGAACAUCUUUCAUUUUCUCUCUAUCUUCUGCAGUGGUCGGCCAUUGAGUCUGACUCAACUUCACACCUUGUAACACAGGCAAGAACCCUUUCUUUGCUUGAUCCAUUUUGAACUUCUUCAAAAUUUUGUCAAGGUAUGUGCUUUGUGAAAGUCCAAUUAAGCGUCUUGAUCUAUCUCUAUAGAUCUUUAUGCCUAAUAUGUAAGCAGCUUCACCAAGGUCUUUCAUUGAAAAACUCUUAUUCGAGUAUCCCUUUAUGCUAUCCAGAAAUUAUAUAUCAUUUCCAAUCAGUAAUAUGUCAUCCACAUAUAAUAUCAUAAAUGCUACAGAGCUCCCACUAACUUUCUUGUAAAUACAGGCUUCUCCAAAGGUCUGUAUAAAACCAAAUGCUUUGAUCACACUAUCAAAGCGUUUAUUCCAACUCCGAGAGGCUUGCACCAGUCCAUAAAUGGAUCACUGGAGCUUGCACAGUUUGUUAGCUCCCUUUGGAUCGACAAAACCUUCCGGUUGCAUCAUAUAAAACUCUUCUUCCAGAAAUCCAUUCAGGAAUGCAGUUUUGACAUCCAUCUGCCAAAUUUCAUAAUCAUAAAAUGCGGCAAUUGCUAACAUGAUUCGGACAGACUUAAGCAUCGCUACGGGUGAGAAGGUCUCAUCGUAGUCAACCCCUUGAACUUGUCGAAAACCUUUUGCGACAAGUCAAGCUUUGUAGACAGUAAUAUUACCGUCAGCGUCAGUCUUCUUCUUGAAGAUCCAUUUAUUCUCAAUUGCUUGCCGAUCAUCGGGCAAGUCAACCAAAGUCCAUACUUUGUUCUCAUACAUGGAUCCCAUCUCAGAUUUCAUGGCUUCAAGCCAUUUUUCGGAAUCUGGGCUCACCAUCGCUUCUUCAUAGUUCGUAGGUUCAUCAUGAUCUAGUAGCAUGACUUCCAGAACAGGAUUACCGUACCACUCUGGCGCGGAUCUUACUCUGGUUGAUCUACGAGGUUCAGUAGUAUCUUGUUCUGAAGUUUCAUGAUCAUUAUCAUUAGCUUCCUCACUAAUUGGUGUAGGUGUCGCAAAAACAGGUUUCUGUUAUGUGCUACUUUCCAAUAAGGGAGCAGGUACAGUUACCUCGUCAAGUUCUACUUUCCUCCCACUCACUUCUUUCGAGAGAAACUCCUUCUCUAGAAAGGAUCCAUUCUUAGCAACGAAUGUCUUGCCUUCGGAUCUGUGAUAGAAGGUGUACCCAACAGUCUCCUUUGGGUAUCCUAUGAAUACACAUUUCUCCGAUUUCGGUUCGAGCUUAUCAGGUUGAAGCUUUUUCACAUAAGCAUCGCAGCCCCAAACUUUAAGAAACGACAACUUUGGUUUCUUGCCAAACCAUAGUUCAUAAGGUGUCAUCUCAACGGAUUUUGAUGGCGCCCUGUUUAACGUGAAUGCGGCUGUCUCUAAAGCAUAACCCCAAAAUGAUAGCGGUAAAUUUGUAAGAGACAUCAUAGAUCGCACCAUAUCAAGUAAAGUACGAUUACGACAUUCGGACACACCAUUACGCUGAGGUGUUCCGGGUGGCGUGAGUUGCAAAACUAUUCCGCAUUGUUUCAGAUGUAGACCAAACUCGUAACUCAAAUAUUCUCCUCCACGAUCAGAUCGCAGAAACUUUAUUUUCUUGUUACGAUGAUUUUCAACUUCACUCUGAAAUUCUUUGAACUUUUCAAAUGUUUCAGACUUAUGCUUCAUUAAGUAGAUAUACCCAUAUCUGCUUAAAUCAUCUGUGAAGGUGAGAAAAUAACGAUAUCCGCCACGAGCCUCAACAUUCAUCGGACCACAUACAUCUGUAUGUAUGAUUUCCAACAAAUCUGUUGCUCUCUCCAUUGUAUCGGAGAAUGGUGUUUUAGUCAUCUUGCCCAUGAGGCACGGUUCGCAGGUACCAAGUGAUUCAUAAUCAAGAGGUUCCAAAAGUCCAUCUGUAUGGAGUUUCUUCAUGCGCUUUACACCGAUAUGACCUAAACGGCAGUGCCACAAAUGAGUUGCCCUAUCAUUAUCAACUCUGCAUCUUUUGGCUUCAACAUUAUGAAUAUGUGUGUUACUACUAUCGAGAUUCAUCAAAAAUAGACCACUCUUCAAAGGUGCAUGACCAUAAAAGAUAUCACUCAUAUAAAUAGAACAACCAUUAUUCUCUAAUUUAAAUGAAUAACCGUCUCGCAUUAAACAAGAUCCAGAUAUAAUGUUCAUGCUCAAUGCUGGCACCAAAUAACAAUUAUUUAGGUCUAAUACUAAUCCCGAAGGUAGAUGUAGAGGUAGCGUGCCGACCGCGAUCACAUUGACUUUAGAACCAUUUCCCACGCGCAUCGUCACCUCGUCCUUUGCCAGUGUUCGCUUAAUCCGUAGUCCCUGUUUCAAGUUGCAAAUAUUAGCAACAGAACCAGUAUCAAAUACCCAGGUGCUACUGCGAGCUCUAGUAAGGUACACAUCAAUAACAUGUAUAUCACUUAUACCUUUGUUCACCUUGCCAUCCUUCUUAUCCGCCAAAUACUUGGGGCAGUUCCGCUUCUAGUGACCAGUCUGCUUGCAUUAGAAGCACUCAAUUUCAGGCUUAGGUCCAGACUUGGGUUUCUUCUCCUGAUCAACAACUUGCUUGCUUUUCUUCUUGAAGUUCCCCUUCUUCUUCCCUUUGCCCUUUUUCUUGAAACUAGUGGUCUUGUUGACCAUCAACACUUGAUGCUCCUUCUUGAUUUCUACCUCCGCAGCUUUUAGCAUUGCGAAGAGCUCGGGAAUAGUCUUAUUCAUCCCUUGCAUAUUAUAGUUCAUCACAAAGCUCUUGUAGCUUGGUGGCAGUGAUUGGAGAAUUCUGUCAAUGACGCAAUCAUCUGGAAGAUUAACUCCCAUCUGAAUCAAGUGAUUAUUAUACCCAGACAUUUUGAGUAUAUGCUCACUGACAGAACUGUUCUCCUCCAUCUUGCAGCUAUAGAACUUAUUGGAGACUUCAUAUCUCUCAAUCCAGGCAUUUGCUUGAAAUAUUAACUUCAACUCCUGGAACAUCUCAUAUGCUCCAUGACGUUCAAAGCGUCGUUGAAGUCUCUAAGCCGUAAAGCAUGGCACACUGAACUAUCGAGUAGUCAUCAGCUUUGCUCUGCCAGACGUUCAUAACAUCUGGUGUUGCUCCAGCAGCAGGCCUGGCACCCAGCGGUGCUUCCAGGACGUAAUUCUUCUAUGCAGCAAUGAGGAUAAUCCUCAAGUUACGGACCCAGUCCGUGUAAUUGCUACCAUCGUCUUUCAACUUUGCUUUCUCAAGGAACGCAUUAAAAUUUAACGGAACAACAGCACGGGCCAUUUAUCUACAAUUAACAUAAACAAGCAAGAUACUAUCAGGAACUAAGUUCAUGAUAAAUUUAAGUUCAAUUAAUCAUAUUACUCAAGAACUCCCACUUAGAUAGACAUCCCUCUAAUCAUCUAAACCAUAACCGAUCAUCACGUGAAAUGGAGUAGUUUUCAGUGGUGAACAUCGCUAUGUUGAUCAUAUCUACUAUAUGAUUCACGCACGAUCUUUCGAUCUCAGUGUUCCGAGGCCAUAUCUGCAUAUGCUAGGCUCGUCAAGUUUAACCUGAGUAUUCUGCGUGUGCAAAACUGGCUUGCACCCGUUGUAGAUGGACGUAGAGCUUAUCACACCCGAUCAUCACGUGGUGUCUGGGCACAACAAACUUUGGCAACGGUGCAUACUCGGGGAGAACACUUUUAUCUUGAAAUUUAGUGAGAGAUCAUCUUAUAAUGCUACCGUCAAUCAAAGCAAGAUAAGAUGCAUAAAAGAUAAACAUCACAUGCAAUCAAUAUAAGUGAUAUGAUAUGGCCAUCAUCAUCUUGUGCUUGUGAUCUCCAUCCUCGAAGCACCAUCGUGAACACCAUUGUCACCAGCGCGACACCUUGAUCUCCAUCAUAGCAUCAUUGUCAUCUUGCCAAUCUUAUGCUUCUACGACUAUCGCUACCGCUUAGUGAUAAAGUAAAGCAUUACAGGGCGAUUGCGUUGCAUACAAUAAAGCGACAACCAUAUGGCUCCUGCCAGUUGCCGAUAACUCGGUUACAAAACAUGAUCAUCUCAUACAAUAAAAUUUAGCAUCAUGUCUUGACCAUAUCACAUCACAACAUGCCCUGCAAAAACAAGUUAGACGUCCUCUACUUUGUUGUUGCAAGUUUUACGUUGCUGCUGCGGGCUUAAGCAAGAACCAAUCUUACCUACGCAUCAAAACCACAAUGAUAGUUUGUCAAGUUGGUGCUGUUUUAACCUUCGCAAGGACCGGGCGUAGCCACACUCGGUUCAACUAAAGUUGGAGAAACUGCCACCCGCAAGCCACCUAUGUGCAAAGCACGUCGGGAGAACCGGUCUCGCGUAAGCGUACGCGUAAUGUCGGUCUGGGCCGCUUCGUCCAGCAAUACCGCCGAACCAAAGUAUGACAUGUUGGUAAGCAGUAUGACUUAUAUCGCCCACAACUCACUUGUGUUCUACUCGUGCAUAUAACAUCAACAUAUAAAACCUAGGCUCGGAUGCCACUGUUGGGGAACGUAGUAAUUUCAAAAAAAUUCCUACGCACACGCAAGAUCAUGGUGAUGCAUAGCAACGAGAGGGGAGAGUAUGAUCUACGUACCCUUGUAGAUCGACAACGAAAGCGUUAACUUCGUUGAUGUAGUCGUACGUCUUCACGGCCCGACCGAUCAAGCACUGAAACUACGGCACCUCCUAGUUCUAGCACACAUUCAGCUUGAUGAUGAUCCCCGGACUCCGAUCCAGCAAAGUGUCGGGGAAGAGUUCCGUCAGCACGACGGCGUGGUGACGAUCUUGAUGUACUACCGUCGCAGGGCUUCGCCUAAGCACCACUACAAUAUUAUCGAGGACUAUGGUGGAAGGGGGCACCGCACACGGCUAAGAAUAUGAUCACGUGGAUCAACUUGUGUCUCUAGGGGUGCUCCCUGCCUCCGUAUAUAAAGGCUCAAAGAGGGGGGCGGCCGGCCAAGAGGAGGCGCGCCAGGAGGAGUCCUACUCCCUCCGGGAGUAGGACUCCCCCCUUUCCUAAUUGGAAUAGGAUUCGCGGAGGGGGGAAAGAGGAGAGAGAGGAGGAAGGGGGGCCGGCCCCCUCUCCUUGUCCUAUUCGGACCACAGGGGGGAGGGGCGCGCGACCCAUCUCUGGCCACCUCUCCUCUCUUCCACUAAGGCCCACUAAGGCCCAUAUACCUCCCGGGGGGUUCCGGUAACCUCCCGGUAAUCCGGUAAAAUCCCUAUUUCACCCGGAACACUUCCGAUAUCCAAAUAUAGGCUUCCAACAUAUCAAUCUUUAUGUCUCGACCAUUUCGAGACUCCUCGUCAUGUCCGUGAUCACAUCUGGGACUCCGAACAAACUUCGGUACAUCAAAAUGCAUAAACUCAUAAUAUAACUGUCAUCGAAACCUUAAGCGUGCGGACCCUACGGGUUCGAGAACAAUGUAGACAUGAACGAGACACGUCUCCGGUCAAUAACCAAUAGCGGAACCUGGAUGCUCAUAUUGGCUCCUACAUAUUCUACGAAGAUCUUUUAUCAGUCAGACUGCAUAAGAACAUACGUUGUUCCCUUUGUCAUCGGUAUGUUACUUGCCCGAGAUUCGAUCGUCGGUAUCCAAUACCUAGUUCAAUCUCGUUACCGGCAAGUCUCUUUACUCGUUCCGUAAUCCAUCAUCCCGCAACUAACUCAUUAGUCGCAAUGCUUGCAAGGAUUAUGUGAUGUGCAUUACCGAGAGGGCCCAGAGAUACCUCUCCGACAAUCGGAGUGACAAAUCCUAAUCUCGAAAUAUGCCAACCCAACAUGUACCUUUGGAGACACCUAUAGAGCUCCUUUAUAAUCACCCAGUUACGUUGUGGCGCUUGGUAACACACAAAGUGUUCCUCCGGCAAACUGGAGUUGCAUAAUCUCAUAGUCAUAGGAACAUGUAUAAGUCAUGAAGAAAGCAAUAGCAACAUACUAAACGAUCGGGUGCUAAGCUAAUGGAAUGAGUCAUGUCAAUCAGAUCAUUCAUCUAAAGAUGUGAUCCUGUUAAUCAAAUGACAACUCUUUGUCCAUGGUUAGGAAACAUAACCAUCUUUGAUUAACAAGCUAGUCUAGUAGAGGCAUACUAGUGACAAUCUGUUUGUCUAUGUAUUCACACAUGUAUUAUGUUUCCGGUUAAUACAAUUCUAGCAUGAAUAAUAAACUUUUAUCAUGAUAUAUAAGGAAAUAAAUAAUAACUUUAUUAUUGCCUCUAGGGCAUAUUUCCUUCAGUUCCAACACCGAAGGGUAAGGAGACGGGCCCGCGUCAUUUACGUCCGGAAUAUGCGACCUUGAUUCUUUGUCGAUGGUGAUGCCAAGACUAUAGGAUAAGGUGGAUCCGGACACAUGAGCAGAUGAAGUGCCUGACACGAAGUUGGUUAAGGAGCUGGACCCAAGUCAUCUACACCGCAAAUUGGUCGAAGGUGUGCCGUGAAUGAUAGAUGUACUUGAGGGGGGAGAAAGCCUGUGAAAAGAACAUACGGUUGCUCGAUGAUGACACAUGUCUUGAGAGGAUGGCGAGAACCCUAGAUAUGGUUAAGGCACGCCACGAGAACAUCACCCCGGUCGCGAGAUUCUCAGUGGUGUGCGGCAACCGAAGCCAAAAGGGCACCCCCGCAAGACCUUGAAAUGCCAGAGCGGUGGGCGCACAAGCAAUGGUGAGGAAAAUCACAUAAGGUACCAAGCAAGGCCAUCCUGAUCAGGGCUCCAUUGCCAAGCUUAUGUCCACCACUGCGAUUCAGACAAACUUUCAACUGGCGUCUCUGUCUUCUCAAGAUUUCCAUGGUCCCAUCAGGAUGUAUAUAUGUACUUUGUUUAUUUUGAAAAUUAAUAUAUCACCAAAGAAAUUGUAGUACUUGUCAUUCUUUUAAUUACUUAGUAGUUUGCAUGAUAGACUCAAUCUUAUAUUUACUAAUUAGAGGCACCAAAUAAGCGACCACGUUAAUCCUCAAAAACUAAGAAUAUUAUCCAUCCGAUCUCCAUAUUAAGUAUCUGUAGCCGUCCAUUGGACAACUCAAGAGUCCUGGGUUACUAUCCCACGUCAUGCUCCAUGUAAUGUGAAAAAAAAAUCAUCUCCUUGGCCAAAUCCAUCCCACGUCAUGCUCCAUGUAAUGUGAAAAAAAGCAUCUCCCUGGCCAAAUUCUUCCUCCCCUGAUCUAUCAUGUGAGGCACUUGCGCAUCAUCCACAAAUCCCUAGCGCAAAUCCAUCCCACGUCAUGCUCCAUGUAAUGUGAAAAAAAUCAUCUCCCUGGCCAAAUUCUUCCUCCCCCGAUCUAUCAUGUGAGGCACUUGCGCAUCAUCCACAAAUCCCUAGCGCUGCUCUUCCAGGUCGUCCUCCUCCUUCCUAUCUUUUGUUGUCUUAAUGCAAAACGAUUCCGUGAGAUCCUUGUGAUCCUCUUCAUCUUCACGUAGAAAUCUGAACUGUCCCAACCACGCUGCAGAUCUGUGGUCCGUCUUGGACAAAGAGAAGGCCCUUUCAAUCUCCACAGAUGCCAUGCCCCAACCAAACCGCAACCCAUGAUAAACGAUGUUGUUGAGAAGGAGGCGCUACCUAAGUCUGAUCGGACAUAUGCCAUUGUUAGGGAAGCUACAAGUCGAAGAACUAUGGUAGACUGAUUGCGAGUAAUUAAGGAGCUAUCAACGAUCCAGUAGGUUUUUGUUAUUAGGAAUUUUUAUGUAGUGCGACUUGAUCUCAAAGAACAAGUACACCAUUAGAGUUCGUUUUGGAGGAUUUUGAUGAUGUGCGCUUAGUUACAGACUUAUCUAAAUACGUAUAACUAGGAUGGACAAUAUUUGUAGGAGCCAUACAAUCCAAUUAGGGGAUUUAGUUUGUCAAAGAUGUUUCCACAUAUCCCUAGCGCUGCUCUUCUAGGUUGCCCCCUGCUUCCUAUCUACGGUCUUCAAGUAAAGCGAUUUAAUGAGUCUCUUGCUGCAGAAAUUUCAACUGCCACAAGAAGGCUGCAGACCUGCGGUUCAUCUUGGCUGAGGUGUCAUACAAUCCAGUUAAGGGAUUCCAUUCAUUGAAGAUGUGGCUGUACUUUCGCACAACAAACUCAAGCACAUCUUCUUAUGUUCUUAGAAACUAGAUGAGUUGUUUUGGACUUUCUUUGGUCUACUCCUCUAUGCUUCUUAUUGGGAAAGUUAGUAUGCAAAAGUUAUGCCCAUCUUCUUAAAUUCGGAUGUAACUUUUCGAGUAGAUGAUUUUUCAUAUAAAAAACUUUUUCAUCCGAGUUAGUAUGCAAAAGUUAUGCCCAUUUUUACAAAUUUCAGAGAGAUUUUGCAAAUAAAGUGAAAAUUCAGAUUUGCAAAUUUUCCCAACAAGUAGACCACAUAUCACAUGGGAAACUUAUUUUCUUUUAUUUUUUUUGACAUUUCCAUCAUUUUCUUUUAUUUUUUUAAAACUGAAAAGGCGAUCCACAUGGGGGGGGGUAGAGUUUGAAAAUGGGACCUUUAGUACUGGUUCGUGGCACGAACCGGGACUAAAGGUCUCAACCCCAUUAGUCCCGGUUCAUGCCUCAAACCGGGACUAAAGGUCUAAUCGUUAGUCCCGGUUUGAGGCACGAACCGGGACCAAUGGUUUUGUGCCAGGAGCGAGGCCCAUUGGUCCCGGUUCAUCCCACCAACCGGGACCAAAAGGUCCAGAUGAACCGGGACCAAUGGCCCACGUGGCCCGGCCGGCCCCCUGGGCUCACGAACCGGGACCAAUGCCCCCGUUGGUCCCGGUUCUGGACUGAACCGGGACUAAUGGGCUGACCCGGCCUGGACCAAAGCCCUGUUUUCUACUAGUGAGUCCAAUCUUGUGUUUAUUCCUCCAUGUCGGCAAAGAGUCAGUAGUCAAUCACCAAGCAAAAUUGCGCACAGUGGGGGGUACAUCACAUCUCCAUAUAUAUUGCCAGCAUUUUCUACUACCAUCUGGCGAUGUGCUAGAUGCCUCUACAGUAUUUCUGUGAGCUACUUCAAAAGCCAGCAUAUAUGCUGAUUUGACCGUGAAGACAUCGAGCUUCCCCGGCCCCCAUGCAAUCACAUCCUCACCUAAUCUUGGAGAUGCCCAUAUCUUUAAGAUUUCUUCCACAUCAGCUGAUAAGAAGUACUGCUGAAGAAGUACCAAGUUCCAAGAACCAUUAUCAUUUAGCAAGUCGGAGACAAAACGAAUGCGACAUCUUCCCUGCAGCGACACAGGUUUGUACGAAAAGGGCCUUGGAAUCCAGUUAUCUCUCCCCUUUGUUGGUAGUCAGAGUCACUAGGACAACUAACUGUGUUAGCAUCUAGAGUUGUAACAAGCCACAGUCCGCCUAUCUUGGUUGCACAGCGAUGAUGCUACCAUCUCCUACGACAAAGUACAUGCCUUGCACCGGAAACAGCGCAACCAUAUGACAUCUAUCCGAGUGGGCGACCACGUGGUGACCGGGCAUGAGGCCAUGGCUGAGGCCGCCUACAACCACUUCUCCGAUGUGCUCGGAAGUGCCAUGGAGCAUGACAUCACGCUUGAUCUCCGCGUUUUGCGUGUUCAACACAAUGCUACUCCGUGCGGUGGACCUAGGCCUUCUUCGACGCCUUACAACUCGGCACGCGGCCUCGAGUAUAUCGCUAUACGCGGACGAUGUUGUCAUCUUUUGUCACCCGGAUAGCCACCACAUUACCACCGUGUGAACCAUCCUACACAUAUUCGGGCUUCAUACAAACUUCGCCAAGUGUUCUGCCACCCCGAUCCGGUGCGAUGAUGACAACAACAUGAUGAUCACAUCUGAGAUGCAGUGCCCCAUAGCCCAAUUCCCCAUCACAUACCUCGGUUUGCCUCUCUCUAUCUGCAAGGCCUCCACGACUAGCUUGCUCCCAAUCAUUGACAAGAUCGGCCACAAGCUCUCCACUUGGCAUGCUUCCAUGAUGUCCAACGGGCAACGGCGACUGCCUUGCUCUCGUGCAUCACGUACUUAGUGCUAUCCCGACAUACUUCCUCACCACCUUUGCUCUCAACCAAUCCAUCCUCGUGAAAUUCAACCGCAUCAUCCGCGGAUUCCUUUGGGCGGGAGGCACCGAAGGCAAUGGGGGUCAGUGUCAUGUUAACUGACAGCAAGUUUGCAGGCCAAUCUCUCUUGGCGGUCUUAGCAUCAGGGACAUUCAAAGGACCGGCAUCACCCUCUGUGCAUGGUUGCUUUGGUUACAGUGCACCGACCCCUUGCAACCCUCGAGCCACUUACACAUACCUCACGACCCAGACGUGACUGCCAUCUUCAGCGCAUCUAGGACCUGGGAUCUUGGGUCCGGCGUCACCUGCAGAUUCUGGUCCGACCACUUGAUAGAGGGUAGAUCCGUGGUUGAGAUCCCCCCAGUCCUCGCCUCGUCCCUCGACGCCGACGCAAGACUCGCACCGUUCACGAGGGCCUCCACCUUAGAGCCUGGGUGCAAGAGAUUCAUGGAGCACUCGGACCGACGGCCAUGUUGCAAUAUGUUGAUCUUGAGCGACGUGUGCGCCACAUUGACCAGAUGAGCCGGAUACACUCAAAUGGCGCUGGACCGCCUCCGCUAUGAAAUGUCUAUGAUGGGAGAAUUUAAAUUCUUCUUAGGCCUUCAAAUUCUUCAACAGCGCAAUGGCAUCUUCAUAUUUCAGGAGAAAUACCUCAAGGAUGUAUUGUGGAAAUUCGGCAUGAAAGAUUGCAAAGGCGUCAAAAUCCCUAUGCCCACAAAUGGCCAUCUAUGCACUGAUGAAAAUGGUAUUGACUUUGAUCAAAAGGUAUACCGCUCCAUGAUUGGUUCUUUAUUGUAUUUAUGUGCAUCUAGGCCAGAUAUUAUGCUCAGUGUUUGCAUGUGUGCCCGAUUUCAACCUACACUGAAGGAAUCACACCAUAAGGCUGUGAAGCAUAUUCUUCGUUAUCUAGCUCACACACCAACACUUGGAUAUGGUAUCCCAAGGGCUCGGCUUUUGAUCUCAUUGGGUACUCACUCUGACUAUGCGGGUGAUCCUGUGGACCGCAAGUCAACAUCAGGCACAUGCCAUUUCCUCAGGCGAUCCUUGGUCUGUUGGUCCUCGAAGAAACAGAACUGCGUAUCACUGUCUACUGCUGAAGCUGAGUACAUUGCUGCUGGUUCUUGCUGUUCUCAAUUUCUAUGGAUGAAUCAAACCCUCAAGGACUACUACGUCAAUGUAAAGAAUGUGCCUCUCUACUAUGACAAUGAGAGUGCCAUCAAGAUUGCUCAUAACCCACUUCAGCAGUCGAAGACAAAGCACAUUCAAAUUUGUCAUCAUUUUCUUCGUGAUCAUGUGUUGAAGGGCGACAUUUCUAUUGAGCAUGUGAAGACUGGAGAACGGCUAGCCGGUAUCUUCACAAAGCCUUUGGAUGAGAAGAGAUUUAGCAAGUUGCGGUGUGAGCUAAAUAUCCUAGAAUCUUCGAAUGUCCUUUGAAAAGGACACACAUCCUAACACUUGUGCAAAGUUGAUGACUUAGACGUGCAACACACGAAGAAACGUUUUUCUUCAUUCAAUGAAGAUUAACACUCUAAGUGUGAAGAAAUUAACAAAGAAUUUGAUUCUCAGAGCCCUUCGACAAUUGUACAUGGUGUUUGAAAUCAUCAUUCUUAUACGGUGGGUCACGCCACCACCAAAAGUUGAAAAUCUUGAAUUUGAGUUUUUACUCAUUUUUGAAUUUCCUCAGUUGUUCAAAUUCUUCAACCCAUCCCACCUUAUCUUCUCAUACCCACUCCCCCCAAUUCCCUCUCUAUCUCUCCCGCAACCUCCCUUGCGCGGACGCCGCCAAACCACCACCUCCCCUGUGCCGCCGCGCCGCGACCUCCUCUGCGCCGCCGCGCCGCAACCUCCUCUCUGCGGCCGAGUCUGCUCCCCGGCGAUUCCCGAUCCACAACUGCCCCCAUUGCCCUUGCCUUCCUCUGCGCGCCGCCGCUCUAGGUCGCGUCCACCGCGUUCCACCACCACCAGCACAUCAGUACGGCGGUAGUGCGGCCCCGCUUCCGUUCCUCCAUGGCCGACCCCCUACCUCCCACCUUCUCCCUCCCGCCCCGAUCGACAACCUCCAUCACCGCCCCGGUCGUGUUGCCCCUCCCGACCCCGCGCCGCCGGAUCCGGGCAACCACGCCGGCGUGCCCUUCCACAAGCUUUCCCGUCGUGACCCUACCACGAGCUGCUCCAGCCCGACCCUGCUUCUUUAACAACGGCACGGUGGCAACUCCCCUUAGUUCACUCCUGCACCGGGGUCGCGAGCUCCGUUCACGGGCUCGCUGGAUCUCGUGAUUGGGGCGCUGGCGACGUGCUCUCCUACUCCACCGCGCCCCUCCUCUACUUCAGCUCCUAUGCCUGUGCCUCUCGUGGACUCAUCGGCGCACAGGCCGCUCUGGAUCCACGCUGGUUCGAGGCCCUGACGGCCUCCUCUUCCUGCUAAGUCACCGAGAUCCAUCGGGGUAUCAAGUUGUUUUGUCGGCCCAAUACUCCUUCUACCUUCCCUUGCCGGCGGUCGUGCAACUUCGGUGAACACCGCUACUCGCGCGCGGAUGACGACGGCGCAGUGGCACUGCAGUUCGCUUUGCAGGGGAUCCGUUGAUGCGGCCGUGGAGUUCGGCCCACAGGUGCAUGAAGUUAUCUUGCCCCCUCCCACAGUUUACCCUUCCGCAUGAGCCCCAUGCCAUAGUCCAUUGGGAAGAAGCUCGUGGUGCGGAUGUGCGGAUGCUCAGUGACAGUGCUGGUGUGUUUCAGAUUUUGUUUUUCUGCAAUUUGUAGGCGACGCUGGAGCAUUGCAGUUCAUUGGCUCGGGGCGAGCAGUGGAGAGGACACACGUGCGUGCAGUUCCCUGUCCAUUGAAAAUGUAGAAGCCCAUCUUGCUGCAAUGUAUGUGAGCAUAUGGCCUGCAAGUGAUGCUCUUUUCCCAGAUUGAAAACAUUGCAAUGUGGUUGGCUGGCCAUCGACGUGCACUUCGCUUUGGGGGGCAGUACGUUCUUUGUGGACGCGCACUUCGUUCGGCCCGAGCGGCAUGAAGCUCCGUUUGCGCGCAUGUGUGGCUUGGCUAACUAGUUUGUGCAGUCGCAUGAUACCUUUAUUAUGUGAUGCCUCCCUAGUUGCUGGAGUUCACUUCUUUGUAUUUAUUGAAACAUCAUGUAGUGCACUGUGAAACUCUCUGUUGUUCACUUGUAAAAACAAAUAGCGGUUCCCUUUGUAAAAAAAAGUGCAGCCCCUUAGUGGUUCACCUUGUAGAAAAUGAGAAAGAAAUCCCCAUGGGAGGUUCACUUCUUUUUCUAAUGCAAUUUGUUUUGUUUGUGGGAUGAUUGAAAAAAGAAGUUCACUCCACUUGUUUAGCAGCUCAUACCCCUUUGUAUGAAAUGCAAUUUGUUUCGUGUGUCUCAAAAUCAGUCGACUACCUCAACACGUGCAAUGCGUUUGGUUUUUGGAUGUGGUUCAUUUUUUAGAGUGAUGUUGUUCACUUGUGCCGAACAUGAAAGCGCAAAAAAAAUUAGCAAAACAAUAAAAAUAGUAAUGCGGUUCACUACGAUAUAUGAUGUGGUUCACUUGCUCGCGUCUCUGCGGUCCACUCUUGUUCAUAAAAAUUGAAAAAAACAUCAAAAACUCGUCCGAGAAAAAUUUACAUCCGACAAAGGAAACCAUGAAGUUCACUUGCCUGCCUGAUGCAGUGCGGUUUCGUUCGAUGCAGUGCGGUUUUCUGUCGAAUGACGUUCACUCACCGAUUUGGGUGUCGCAAAAAAUAGUAUCUGCAUUUUCGUAAUUUUAAAAUUGCUUUUAAACCGUAAGGAAUUAGAGAGAGUGUUCUACAUGAAAAAGUUGCGUCUCGUCGAUAUUUUUCCAAUGCCAUAUCAUUUGAAUCAUUUUGACAAGCAGUUUGUAAAAAUUUCACAAAAAACGACCGCUGCCAGUCAUCGUCCGCCACACCAUUCUAAAAAUUAACUUAAAACCGUAGUGAAUCUCGAAACCAAUUCUACAUAUAAAAGUUGCGCCUUGUCCAUAGCUUUCCAACGACGUAUUACACGCCUCAUUUCGAUAAACGGUUCAAAAACUAGAGUGAAAACAGUAUCGAAAGUUGCAAAAAUUUCAAAAAAUGUAAUUUCGCGAUUUAGUAAAUUUGAAACUGCUCUUAAACCGAAAUGAAUUAGAGAAAAUAAUAGAUAUGGAAAAGAUGCGCCUCAAUGAUAUCUUUCCAACGGCGUCUCAUUUGCUUUAUUCUGAUGAGCGGUUUUGAAAAAAUCAAGAAAAUACGCUCGCUGCCACUCGUCAUCCGCAGCACCGUUUUUGAAACUGCUCUUAAACCGCGAGGAUCUCGAAAAGUGUUCAACAUGGCAAAGUUGCGCCUAAUCCAUAGCUUCUCCACGGUAUAUUACACGCGUCAUUCCGAUAAAUGGUUAAAAAAUUAGAGCGAAAAAACUACCAAAAAUACACAGCGUGUAGUUUUUUCGACACGAAGUUCACUCGCCUGAGUACUGCAGCACACUUGGUUCAAACAAUGACGUGCAGUUGCGUUGAGCGUGCACUUCGGAAGUGUUAUCAGAAUAACUAUUCUGUUAAUAUUAGCAUAAUAGACCGACUGUAUAUUAUUCUGUUACGCGUAACAGGAUAUUAUUCUGUUACCCUAUGGUGAAUUCAAGCAGUUGAACUGAUGCUUUCUGUUCCUAUUAAAAAUCGUCUUCUUUAGUUCAAAAGUUUUUGCAAUUUUUUUAUCAAAACAGGGCGUGUAAUAUAUCGCUGGAAAGCUCUUGACAUCUACAUUACAAUCUUGUAAUUUGUUUUUGCAAAAAAUUAUGAUUUACGAGCAGUUUUGAAAAACCCGUUUUUUUUCAAGCCGAAAACGCGAAUCGUAUUUUGGACUUAAUUUUCAAACGGUUUGUCGGAAUUGAGCAAAUGAGAUGGCAUUGGAAAGCUUGUGAAAAUCCGCAUCUUCUAUAUUUCUACUAUUUUUUCAAAUUCUAUAUGAUUUAAAAGUAAUUUGAAAAACGGUGAAAUUCUGGGCGAAAUGUUUUUUCACUAUUUUUUUGCAAACGGUUUGUAGGAUUGACACAAAUGAUAUGGUGUUGGAAAGCUAUGGAAAAUGCGCAAAUUUUGCAUAUAGAAAGUUUUUUCUAAUUCCUUACGAUUUAAAUACGAAUUCAAAUACAGUUAAAAUUGAUUUUGAACGUGUUUUUUAAAAAGUUUGUCGAAAUGGAGAAAAUAAUAUACCAUUGGAUAGCUAUCGAAAAUGCAAAACUUAGUCAUGUUGGACGUUUUCUCUACUUCACAACCAUUUAAGAGUAAUCUUCAAUACGGCAUGACGGAUCCUGCUGUUUUCUCGUCUGAAAAACAGAUUAGUCGUACUGAUAUAUGUGUAUGUUUGUACUGAGCUAUUUUUUGUAGAGUAAUUUUAAGUGGUUCCGAAAAAAUGUUCUUAUACUGAUGCUUGCGUGGUUUUGUACUAAACGUGUUUUCACUAACUAGACUUUGCUCUGUUUUUUCAUGAGACCCAUCAUGCUGUUUUUUCGUGAGAAAAAACAGAGUACUUGUACUGAUCUACAUGUGUGUUUGUACUGAUGUAUUCUUCGAAGAGUAAUUUUGAAAGGUUCCGAAAAAGGAGUACUUGAACUAAUGUCCGUAUGGGGUUGUACUGAGCGUUUUUUCACAGACUAGACUUUACUCUAUUCUUUUUACCGAAAAUUGUUUCAUCAAUUGUUCGCAAAUGAUAGUACGAACUAAGAUAUGUGUUGGUUUGUACUGAGCAUUUGUUUCAUCAUUUGUUCGCAAUUGAUAGUACGAAUGGAGCUUUGUUCAUUUUUAUACUGAGCAUUCUUGUCAGUGCCAGGAUCUCCGGAUUUAUGUUGUUUUGUUCUGCGAACUUCCUCAAAAUUUUAUUGGUAAAUCACACCAUUUUUUUCUUUUGCUAAAUUUUUGUCCUCUGAACUUGUGACGGAUGGAGUUUGUACUGAUAUGAAUCAUUUUGCCGAACCGCCACAAUUUUUUGUGUAUUGAAUCACUAUAUAACUUAGAACCAAAUUGUUUUUCUUAACAUAUAUUUGAAUUGUUUCUAUAUGUACAUUGAAUUGGGGAAGAGUAGCAAAAGUUAUACAUACUUUAUGGAUAGUAAUACAUGAAUUUCUUGGUAAACUGAAGAAUGUACUCUGGACCGUAAUACAUGUCCUCUCGAGUUUGUACUGAUGUGAAUCCUUUUGAACUUGCUCUCGACGGUAAUACAUGCCCUCUCGAGUUUGUAAUGAUGUGAAUCCAUUCGAACUUAUGUGGCUUACAUCAUUGAACGGACUCUAUUCUUCUCACUACCACCAUUGUUCUGUCCAUUUCUUUUCGGACUUGCAUGGCUUACAUCGUUGAACGGGCUUAGGUGGAUAUGUACUAAUGAACUACUGUGAUUUGUAGCUCUCAGGAAAUGGAAUCCUUUCUUUCCCUGUUAUUCUGAAUACCAAACAGCAAAAAAUGAGUUCUCAUAAGCACGAAAAAAUAUAUAUGUACCCCUAAAUUUUGCAGCUAUUUUGUCCUCUUUCAUUUUGAAAAAACAUACAAAAAGCAAAAGCACAAACUAUACAAAAGGUUUUAGACACCAAACCAGUAGAGAAUUAAAAAUAAGCAUCAGGCAGCAACUUGCUAAAGAUAGCACGAGUCAUAUACAUACGCAUUUCAUCCCAUUAUACUUCUCCACCCGCAUGGAAAGUGAGAGAACCUCCCUACAUGCAUAUACAGGCAUCAAACUCCCUCUGUACCUAAACUAUAUUUUUGUUUGAUAUAUAUUGUGAACUCCUCUUGUCGAUGUACAUGAACCUGCUGUGCAGAGAGAUGAAAUGUAGUACAUCAGUCUAGCUUCAUUCAGCUAGAGAGAAACAUGAAAAAAUGUUCAGUUUUUUGGACGGCUUUCCUCUUUUUCUUUGUCCAAUUCCGCGCCACGACUGCCACCAUCCUGCAUGCAAGCUUAAAAUUAAUUGAAGCCACCAAACAUGCACUUUCAUGAGACUUUGCUACUAUAAGUCAGCGAACAUAUCUUUAGUAUUAAACCAAAGGCACACUUAUUAACCAGCACUCUUGUUCAGUUCAGAGCAUCAUCAAUAAGAUAAAGAUACGGAAACAUUAAGCCAAUAUAGAACAACUGGAUUGAUUUGACUCAAAUUUUUACUUUCAAUGCAUUGUAGGCAACAGCCGAUCCAAGUCAGAACUGAUGUGAUUUAUUCCAUUGAACUGAUAUGAAAGUUUAUCUAUACUGUUCUGUUUUUUAACACACACGUUUUGAACUAUUCCCGCUUUUUUCAUUAUGAAUUGAUGACAUAAGACAUGUUGAACUGUUACACAAGAGCAAAAUUCAGAAAUACAUAACAAUGGUGUACUCAAAAUAUGUGCAUUUUAAGGAACAAAACUUUCUGAACCUUCUAUACGAAAAACUUCAACUAUCAGUCCAAAGAGAUUUGAAGUUAAACAAUCAUUUCCCUUACCGAGUGUUAAGGAAAACGAAACCAGAGAUGACCUCGCCGACAGUAGGAGUAGCGAUGGCUGCCAAGGCGACGCGUUGGUACAUGUACUAAACAUCUGCUCAAACCUGUUGUAACAUCUACUUCAAGCUUUUUCUAAAUCAUUGUUGGGAGUAGAGGGUUUUAAAAGAAAAUACAGAGUGCCAAAGAAAGAAAGGAACAACCUAUUUAUCUAAAGGACUGUGAUAUUUGGCACACGUGUGCCAUAUAAGCAAAACUGCCACACCUCUAUUUCUUUCAUUUUAAAGUACCAUACGAUCCCUCGUUCUUUGACCCCGCCUCUUCCCAAAUUACCCCGCAGGCUCGCCUGAGAAACCUGCUUCUCCCGCACAUCUCGGGCGCUUACCCCCGAGAAAACUGCCACUUCUUCACGUCUACCACAUGAUUUCUCCUUAGGACAAAGUUACCAUGAUAUUCAUAUGAAAGUUAUCAGGCCUGUGUUGCAUAACUUACCAUACUAUUUACAUAGAACGUAUCAGGUACUAUGCUUCAACAACUACACCCUUUCAAAGUUACCACUGUGUUUUGUACACAAGUUAUAAGGUCUUUGAUGUGUAAAAUACCGUGGUACUUACACAUAAGUUAUCAGGGUAUAUGUACAUCAACCUCCCCCCGGUCAAAGUUACCAUGGGGGAUUGUACAUGAGUUACCGGGUCUACGGUUCGUAUAUUAUCAUGGUACUAGCACCUAAAAACAUGGGUGUGUUUCGGUAGCUUUUCACAUAGGUCAAAAAUUACCAUGAUGUUUUUGCGUAACUUAUCACGCCUAUAGCACGUGUGCCCCUCGUGACACUAAACAUUAUGUGACUUUCCCGUGGCAUGCCAUGUGUUGUGUUCAUCCAAGAGGCCCACGCGCGAGGCAAGUGUAUGUUUUUAACAACUUAUAUAUUUUCCUUUGGUAAAAAAGUUAUCAUCAUGUUUAUAUUGCAAGUUAUCGGUUAUGCGGUGCUUAUAUUAUCAUGUUAUUUACACAAAAAUUAUUGGGGAUGUUUUGAACAACUUUUUCCCGAGGCAAAAAGUUAUCAUGGUGAUUCUAGGUAACCUAUCAAGCCCGUAGUGCUUAAAAUAUCAUGCUAUUUACAUAAAAUUUAUCAGGGAUAUGCUUCAGCAACAAAUUCCACCCCCCAUGGGUCAAAAAUCUAUCAUGGUGUUUAGUUAUCGCAGUGCAUAUGUUUUCAUACUAUUUACACAUAAAAAUGCCAGGGGAGGGAGGUAUACUACCGUGCUAUUUACAAAGAAGUUACCGGAGUAUCUUAAAAAAAUUGCCUACGGUCAAAGUUACCAUGGUGCUUCUACCUCAGUUAUCAGAUGUGCGCUGUGUAUAUUACCAUCUAUUUACACAUAAACUAUCAGGUAUCUUUUCACAUUUGUUUUCCCCAAUGGUUAAAGUUACCACGAUGUUUGUAUCUAAAUUAUCAGGUCUAUGGCGUGAAUGUUAUCGUACUAUUUACAGAAAUUACCGGAGGGCGGGUUCAACAAAUUUAUUCCCAAUGAUCAAAGUUACCACGAUGCUUGAAACAAAAAGUUGCUAACGUAUUAAAGGCAAAAACAUGUCAAAAACAGUAUUACCCUUAGAAUGUUCAACAAUGAGUAUCAUAGGUGAGGUGGUUAGCUCCCUUUGUUAAUUACCUGCAGACCAGAGAUCAAAUCCUAGUAUAAGCAUUAUUUUUGCUGAAAAUCGAGAAGGCAUGUGGGGCCAUAAAUGACGAUUACAAAAAUUAGAAAGGCACAAGCGGGAGAGAAUUGAUGACAUUUGAUGCGUGUGGCAGUUUCACAAUCUGCCACACGGUUGCCAUAUACAUAUUUCGUUAUCUAAAUAGUGUGUGGAAUUGUUUACACAGAUGAACAAAACAUUACUUGAAGUAGAGGUUCUGCCAAAAGAAAGAAAGAGCAUCUUGCAGGUUCAAGUUUGAGUAGUUGAGCCAGACAAUUUAUCGUAGGCGUUGUAUGUAAUAAUAAUUUAAUUAUUUUCAUAGGAGUACGACUCAUAGUAUCGGCAUGGAGGUCGUGAACAAAAGCAGAAGUAUCCUUAAUUUUUUAUUAGUGAUUGUAAUUUUCCUUAUAAAGAACAUACUACUCUCGUGUAAACCCAUCCCUCUACAUAUGUACUGUCAGUUUUUUGCAAAUCGAACAAAUUGCGUAUGUAGCAAGUGCUAGUAUCUUGAAAUGCAGUUAUGCGUAUGCCCCUAAGAGUAGGUGAAUAGAAAACUCGAACCAAAAAUGGCUUUCUCCUAAUAGUAAUCGUGCUAGAACUCAUUCAAAGCUGAAGUGAACUAUAAUUAUAACCAGCCUUUGUCAAUAGAAGUCCUACUGAUCACAAAUUCCUCUAAUUUCCUCCAGACUCAAGAUCAAGAUGGUGGACAGUGCACGGAUAUUACAAAAUUAACAAUUCACAAUACGAAUUAAAUAUCACAAAUUGCAAGGUACAAGUUUUGAGCACAUACAAUCUUUCAUUGGUAGGCAACACUACAACUUUGGAGGUCAACACAUUAGGCAAACUCUUUGGAAUUAAGAUAGUGAAAAGUAAAUGUAUGCGAAAGCAAGCUUCAGUUCAGUAAACCAUCAAGCCCAGAUUGCUGCACUCCGAAUUUCCUUUAGACUUGUACGCUACCUUCAGGUCAGCAAGCUUUAUGUUCAGCAAGUGUGUAACAAAACAAGAAUUGAACUGGAAUAGAAUUUGAAAUUUGAACUGAAAUACAAUACGAAAACUAAACUGAGUGUACUUUCAGAUUUUCACAUGGGCAUCAGUGCAUGAAGCACCAAUGAAAUUGAACUGAAACAAACUUCAGUUCAACAAACUUAUAUGAAGUUAUAUGAAGCAUGCUUGAAUGCGUUGACCCGAAGCAUGCUUGUAGGAGAGUAGUGGCACUGGAAGCGAGCCUUUUGCUGAACUUAUAUGAAGUUAUAUGAACUUGUCUAACUUAUAUGGAACUUAUAUGAAGCCUUUUGCUGAACUUAUAUGAAGUUGACCAGACAAGAUGAUAC